rnacentral:lncRNA from 1 species
UGGUGGUUAGUUUGACAACCGGGCUGAAAGUUUCCUGAAAAUCCACCCCCGCUUCUUAGAGAUGGCCUUUGACCACUAGGUGACCUUUAUACCGUGCAAUUAACCUAUCAGCGUUACGCUUGAGCUUAAAAAUCCACUUGCACCCCACUGCCCUCCUUCUUGUAGGCAGAGGCACAACAUCCUAAGUAUGGUUAGCAAGUAAUGUAGUAUACUCAGCAUGAGCAGCUACAGACCAGACUGGAUGUUGAAGAGCUGCUGUAAUAGAAGUCGGUUCCUCAUCUCUCAGAACAGAAGUGAAUAAUUUGGGCUUGAAUAUCCUACUUUUAGACCUUGUCUGCAUUGGAUGGGCAUUGAGAAAAGGCAUAGAUUGUAUAGGAGAAACAGAUGAAUAAGUUGUAUCAGGCGGUGUAUGUGAACAUUAUGCACCUGAUGAGUGAGUAGGAACCUCCAUAGCUGACGAAGACUGCCCAUUAUUAUUUCCAUGAAGAGAUAUUGUUGGAGGUAUAGGAGAAGACAUAUUAAAAACAGAAAUAGUGUCAGCCUGCACUACUGGAAAAAGCGACUGACAACAAGCUGACUUUUCUGAUUGGGAUAAGGAUUCAAGAGAAAACCCUCUUUGAAAGGGAAACCAUGAUUCAUCAAAUGUGACAUGCCUGGAGACAAAAACAUGACCACUGCUGUCGAGACAUUUAUAACCCUUCUGAUUCAUCCCAAUGCCAAGAAACACACAUUGAGCAGACCGAAACUGCAACUUAUGGUGAUGAUAAGGUCUCAAGCAUAGAUAACACGCACAGCCAAAAAAUUUGAGAUAGGAAUAGGAUGGUCUGACUUGAUACAACACCUCAUAAGGACUCUGCUUCUGUAAAAUAGGCGUUGGUAAUCUAUUAAUCAAAUGAACACUAUGGGCAAAGGCAUAGUACCAGAAGUCCAAAGGUAAGCCAGCCUGUGCCAUAAAUGUCAACCCCAUGUCCACAACUUGCCUAUACUUCCUUUCAGCCUCCCCAUUCUACUCGGAAGUAUGGGGACAAGUGAUUUGAUGUUGAAUUCCAAGACGAGCAAGUUCUCUGGAGAGUGAUCGAUCCUUCCCACCCUAGUCAGAUUGAAGAAUCUUGAUGGUACGGCCAAACUGAACAUACACCAUUUGUUUGAACUGAAAAAAACAUUACAUGACUUCAGCCUUGGACUUAAGAAAGUAAAUCCACGUAUAACAACUGUGCAUAUCGACAAAAGUAACAUAGUACAGAAAACCAUUUGAUUUUACAUGAAAAAGACCCCAAACAUCAGAUGCUACUAACUCAAAUGGUGUAUUAUACACAGUUUUAGAUGAGCUGAAAGGUAGCUUGUGUGCUUUGCCUAUUUGGCAAGCAGAACAAAUAGAGGAAACAUUGUUGUUAUUGAAAGGAAUGUUACAAUUACAUAAAGCAACACCAAGAACAUUGGAACACGAGUGUCCAAGCCUCUUGUGCCAUAACUCUGUGGAGAAAGAAUGUUGUGUGGUACAUAAGUGAGCUGAGGCAGACUGAGAAGAGGCACCAGUAGCACGAAGAGGUGGUUCAGAAACAUCAAACCAAUAAAGACCCUCAUGCAUGUGGCCCACUAGAAGAGUGUUCCUUGUCUGUAUAUCCUCACAAAGCACAUAAAAGGAUGAAAUUCAAAAUAUACUGCAUUAUCCCUAGCAAAUUCACCAAUUGACAUCAAAUUUUUGCAUACAGUGGGUACAUGAAGAAUAUUUUGCAGACGCAAAAGUCGAGAACCAGCCACCACACGAGUUGUGCCUACAUUAGCAAUAGGAACAGAAACACCAUUGCCCAUAGCAACAUGGUUCGUACCUGUAUAAGGAGCAACAUUCGAGAGUGAAGUCACAUCUGGAGUUACAUGAUUUGUCGCACCAGAAUCCGGAUACCAAACUUGAUCAGAGGGUCUAGGAGAUGGAUGAGAGAAUGAUGAUGUGGUGGAUGGACAACAUUGGUUACACGUAGGCACAGAGGAAAUGCCAUGACUUUCAACCUAAUGAUAGUUGACUGAAACUGACUGAUUGGAACUAACCCCCGAAUAUGUUUCAUCAAAAUGGCGGUAGCAAGUCUGAACCAAAUGCCCAAUUUUUCCACAUAAUUGACACUGUGGCCUAGAGUGAGACCAUCCACGACCAUUUGUACAACCCUUGGCGCGAGACCAGCCACGACCACUGCCUCGAUGACCAGGUUUAUACUCUCGCUGAUAACUUCCUGAUGACUCAACAUGCUUCGAAUCGUUAGUAGUAUCGUGUUUUGAAUGAGAAACCAUAUUUUCUUGCAAAGGUUCCUCUGUUAAAAGAUCUAGUUGUCGUGUCUCACAAUCAAGCAACAUCUUAGUUAAGAGAUCAAGAGACAUGGGAGUAGCUGAUGCUGUAACAGCCUAAUUUUCAGUGGUGUCGGAACAGUGAUUCGAGAUCACUAAAUCCGAAAAAUGAGUAGGAAAUAUUACUAAUUUAGUGAGUAUAAGUUAAAUGUGAAGUUAGGAAAAAUUUUGAAAUAGUGAAAUGUACAAAAAAUAUAUAUUAAAAUAAUUAGAAUUGAAAACAAGGUAUCGAGACCUCGGGAAUUUUAAAUCGAGCCAUAAAUAUUUUUAUAAAUAUUUAUGGAGUGUUAAUAAGUUAGUAUUAAAGUUUCGUCAAGAAAUUUUAAAGUACUGAUAGCUAAUUGAACAAAAAGGACUAAAUUGUAUCAAAUGCAAAAUUGUGAGAAAUGAUUAAAUAGCUUAAAUGAUAAAAGAAAGAGGGUUUAAAAGGAAAAUAGACCCAAGGUCUAUUUGGGCUGGAUGGCAAGAGCAUGAAAUCACCAAGAAAAUAAGGGCAAAAUUGGAAAAUUGCAAAAUUUACUUAAUAAAGCUAAGACUAAAGUGAAAUUAUCUAGAUUUCUCUUUAUUUUUCUGCAUUCUCAUCAGCAAAAAAACCAUGGAAGAGUUCCCUUAAGCUGGUUUUUCAUAUUUUUACUACAAGUAAGUUCAAUUCUUGAUUAUUUUUUGAAAUUUUUGUGUUUUUGUGACUUUUACAACUAGGUCCAUUUGUUGAAUUCAUUAGUUCUUGAUUCUAUGAAAGAAAUUGAAAGUUUCUAUGAAUAUGUGCUGGAAGUAUAUGAUGAUUUGAUAUAGAAUUAGAGCUUUAAAUUGUUUAUAUGCUGAUUUUAUUAAAAGAAUUGAAUAGAAAGUGAAUAUUUGGGACCUAAAUUGUAAAAGAGUUUGAAGUUAGAGUUUUAUGUGGAAAUUCUAAAUUUAAAUAGUUAUGAAAUAACUUAUAAUGUCUAGGAAAAGUAUUAAUUGAGAAAAUUAGUUUAAUUGAGGGGUUAAUUAAGUAAGGACUGAAUUGUAUGAACUGUGAAAUUUGGGGCAAAAUGAAAAUCAACAUUUUGCACUAAAAUAGUUUUGGACAGAAAUAAUAGUCUAAAUUUGAAAAAUCUCCAAAAAUUGUAUAAAUUUAAUUAGUGGAUGAAUAAAAUAUGAAAUUAAAGCUUAUUUAGUCUAGUUUCUUAUAGAAGAAACGGUGUAAGCAAUGGAAUUGUAAAUCAUGAGAUAUAAUAAGUUUUGUGAGACAAUGUCAGAAUGAUUUCAGGUUCCCCUGUUCUGACUUUGGAAAAUCAUAACAAAUUGGAGAAAAAUAAUUAAGGGAUUAAAUUAUAUGUUUAAAAUCCUUAAAGAGUAUAUUUUCAAUAGAAAUAAGCGAGAACAUCAUCCGAAUCUCGUACGAUGAGAUAAUUAAUUCUUAGUGAAGAAGGGUCGGAACUGUCAAACAGCAGAACAGGGGCAACUUUAAAGAAUAAACUGUACUUAUUGGCUAAACCAAAAAUUCUGAAAAUUUUAUGGUCAUAAGAUAAGUAAGUCUAGUUUCAGGAAAAAUUAGCGGAUCUUAAUUUCGAGUUCUGUAGCUUAAGAUAUAAAUAAUUUAGUGACUAUGACACAAAUGGAUAGUUUUGAAUAUACAUAAGUAAAUAGUGAAAUUAUUGAUAAUGUUACUUGUUGCAUGUUAUAUAAAUUAAGGAUGUGGAAUGAAGAGGAGGAGGAGGAAAAUAUGUAUGAAUAUUCAGCUAGCAUGGCUAAUUUGUAUGUUUUAGGCUCAUGGACUAAAUUGAAUAAAAGUAAAAUUUUAUGGGCAAUUUUGUAAAAAAAAUGUUAGAAAUGACCAAUUUGCAUGAAAUGAAUUAUUUUAUUAUUUAAAUUACAAAAUUGAAUGAAAUUAUUAAUUUAGCUCAAGAUCAGGGAAAAACAUGUUUUAAGGAUUAAAUUGAAAAGUGUUGAAAUUAUGGAAAAUUCUGACAUUUUAUAGAAUCCGUAGAUUGUUAUCAAUUUGUGUGAGAAUAACGGCUGGAAAUAAGGAUUAAAUUACAGUAAUUUAAUUUAAUUUUAACCUAAGGAUGAAAUCGUCAUUAAUUAAAAUUUUAGGGGUAAAAUGAUAAUUUUGUUUAGAGCAUUAGUUGAAUGUAUUAUAACAUGAAAUAAAUGAAAAUGACGACCAAAUUUCUUUAUAAAGAUCCGAAUGACUUGAAUACGAGAUUGAACGUGGAAAAGAAAAGAUAUCGGAUUAAUGAAAUAUCUGAUAAAUGAAUCGGUAACUCCGGUAAUGCUCCGUAACUCUAUUCCGGUGACGGAUUCGGGUUAGGGGCGUUACAGAUGCAAACACACGAAUUGAUUCAUAUUCCAUUGAGAGACCAGCUAAAACAAUACUGACCUGUUCUUGUUCAGUAAUAUGACUUCCAACAGCAAUGAGAGCAUCACUUAGAUUCUUUACUUUGGCCAAAUAAUCUUUGAUUGAAAGAUUGGCUUUCUUGAUAGAAUACAGAGCAUGACGCAUGCUUGAAAUCUUGACAUUCGACUUAGCACCAAAACGUCGCUCAAUAGCUGUCCAGACAUCAAAACUUGUCUUGGCCAUCGUGAGAUGCACUAGUAUUUCAUCCGUAACCGUAGAAAGCAGCCAAGAAGUAAGGAAUUUAUCCUAUUUCUUAUGAAGAAGAUAUAACAGAUUAGCCACAAGUUGCCCAUCAGGUCCAGAAACAAGAGACUCAGGUACAGAGACUGUGCCUAGUACAAACCUUUCAAGUUCAUACCCCUCAAGAAUUAGUAAAAUCUGAUGCUUCCAUAACAAGAAGUUACUUUCACCAAGCUUGACUGUCUCAUGUUUGGAGAAGUACUAGAUAUUCGACAAACAAGAAGAAUUCUGACCUUGUGAAGGGAACGCCCCUUCGGUGUUGGAAGAAUGCCUCGGUGUAUCACUCAUGACAAAAACCUCCGUAACCAAGAUCACAAACAAGAAAAAAAAAACUAAAAAAAAAUUGUGGCUCUUGAUACCAUGCUAAAAUCAGACUAAACCAUGCAUGUAAAUGCCAUUAUCAUUUUACUCUCAUUAAUGAAUGAACUCACGUAUUUAAUACAAGAGAGAGACUUGAGUACUUAACAGAUACUAAUAGACUAACUGUAACUUGCUAACAGUUUAACUAACUAACUGUUAACUCUUAACUCUAUCAAAACGAAAGCAUUUUUGUAUUGGGUUGAUCUAACAGGUAUAGUCACGAUUGUUUUUGGUUAAAAAGAUUAAGUGAUAUUUUUGACAAAACAGGAUCGUGGACCUCUCAUUCGAUUAUUAUAUGAGAAACUCUAUUCUUUUAUCAUUCUCUUAACCAAACAGAUGAAUAAUUAUAUGCAGCCUAUUAGAUAAGGGUUGAUGAUUUAUCAUUGUCAAUUGCCUUUGCCUUUUAAAUGAAUAAGAAACUUUAAUUCAAUAGGCUUAUCAACCGUCUAUCAAGAUUAUUUUAAUUUGCUGAUUGACUCCAUAUAAAGGAAGUCAUUCCCUUGGUGUUGAUGUGCCUUGUAUGCUGAGAAUUGCUUGUUACCAUUUUGUUGGGAUGAGAUUUCCAUCCCCUUGUCUAGUAUUAAAGUACUUGCAUGUGUGGCUAUGAGAGUGAUAAUUGGUGUGUGUAAGAUGUUUCAUUGUUCUCUAUUGGAACAACAUGAACUUUACUUGGAAAGUAUUUUUGGGAUAGAUAGAUGUUGUUUGAUUGGUUGAUUGAAUAAAAUUAUACUCUGGACGAGACUCAGUCAAUGAAUGCCCUUAUUGAUCUAUACUAUUAAAAAGAUAUAUUAAUAUCACCUGACUCAUGACAAUAAACUCAGUCAAUGAAAAUAGAAUCAAACCAACUCGUUUAGAAAAAUUAUAAAAAUAUCCUUCUAUAAUUAAAAUAAUUUAUAUAGUUCGAGAGUACUUUAGUUAUUUUUUAGACACCAAUAAAAAAUUGUUUAUACUAUUGUUUAAGCCCCAGACUGAGUUAAUGUCAUAAGUCAAUCGAACAUCAACUCAAUUAGAGAAAUUACAAAAAAUAUCCUUCAUAAUUAAAAUAAGUUAUGUUAUUUGAGAAUACUUUAGUCUUUUUAUUUUUUUUAAAAAGUCAAUAAAAAUUUGUAUGCGAUGGGAUUUGAACCCAUAUUACUUAUAUCAAUAAAACAUUAUUUUUAUCACAAAACCAAAAAUUUAUUUUAAUAUAAUAUUUUACAUUUUAAUUAUAUACUAUGUAUACUUUAUAAUUUACAUCAAUUGUCUACAUUUAUAAUGUUGUCGAUUGAGUUGCUAUCACAAGUUAACUCCGCACAAACUCAAAAUUGAUGACAACAUCAUGAUAAACAAUUGGAGAUCAUUUAUUAUUCUUAAUAUGACAUAUUUACAUAUUGAAAUUUCAUUUCACUCACAAUUUGAUCUCUUUUUUUGUUAAUACCAUGCAUAUUUCAUGUGUUAUUAGUUUUAAGCCAUAUGAUUUAUUAUUUAUUGUAUUUUAUUUUUAAACAUAUUUUUAUAAUUUAAAUACGCAAUCUCCAAUGAAAGACCAGUGGGGAGAGCCGAUGUUAUAUCGGCGACUGCCAAGUGGCAUGUUGACUAGACGCAAUGAUGAUUUUAAGUUGGAAUGUGUAUAGUUUGGAGCAACUGCGAGCUCUGAAACGUAUCAAAAAUAAGUUGAGACAAGUUCAGCCCCAAGUUUUGUUUCUAAUUGAAACAAAAGUAAGUGCGAGACGAAUGGAGAAGAUAAGGUGGAAAUGUGGUUUUAUGAAUAGUAUUAAAGUGGAUGUAAUUAGAACAAAAGUGAGAUUAUCUCUGGUGUAGGUAGAAGGGUUGAAUAUUACUUUACGAAGUUUUUCUGGAUCUCAUAUUGAUGUGGAGGUGGUGGAGGAUGAUGGAGAGAUUAUUUAGAGAUUCAUAGGAUUUUAUGGUUCGCCUGUUAAACAAACAAGGAAGGAUUCGUGAAAUUUACUACGACAGUUGAAUCAAUGAUCUAAUAUGUUGUGGCUGGUGUUGGGGGAUUUCAAUAAGAUUUAUUAUUCAUUUAAAAAACAAGGUGGUAACCUUAGGGAGGAAAGACAAAUGAUUGCGUUUAGGGAGGUUUUAGAUGACUGUGAUUUGAUGAUCUCAACUUUUUGGGUCAACGAUUUACCUGGGACAAAGGGCGUUUGCCGAAAACUAAUAUCAAAAAGCAAUUGGAUAGAGGGGGUAGCAAAUCCUGGUUGGUUGGAGUGAUUUACGAAUUUUUCGGUUAAACACAUACAACAUUGUUUUUCUAAUCAUUGUCCAGUGCUUGUUGAUACAGGAAUUGAUAGAAGAGGUCAAGUAGGGAGGAGAGAUCUGAGUUUUCGCUUUAAUGCCGAUUAGGUUUCAGAGGCAGGUUUUGAGGAUCAUUUAAAGAGAUGGUGGGCUAUGACAGAUAAAGCAGUGUCGGACAAACUUAAAGAGUUAGGGAUGGAAUUAAGUAAUUGGGCAAAAAAUAUGAGAGUUGAUAGGAAUCAGAGAUAGGGGUUUGAGUACGAGGCUUACUGAGUUGAAUAACAAUGAUCCUUGUAACAAGGUUUUAGCUGAGAUUACUGAUGUGAAACUUACUUUGAAUAUGGAGGCAGAUAUGGAGGAACUCUUUUAGGAACAGAAGAUGAGGGCGAAUUGGAUUCAGCUAGGGGACCGUAAUACCUCCUUUUUUCAUAAAUUCACUUUUAUUUGACGAAUAAGGAACAAGAUCAACGGAUUGGAAAAUGGGGAUGAGGAUUGGGUCAGUAAUCAGGACAAUUUGGUUAGGGUGGCAACUGCCUAUUUUAAAGAUUUGUUUUCAUCUAAGCCAUUAAGAGAUUGUGAGCGUUUGCUUUCUAAAAUUUCGAUGUGUUUUUAUGUUUCAGAAUGAGGAGUUAAUAGCUGCAUUUAAAAGAGAAGAGGUGGUCGAGACGAUUAAAGCCAUGGAUCCGCUUAAAGCUUCUAGAAAGGAUGGCUUCCCUGCGCUUUUCUAUUAGAAGUUUUGGCACAUGGUAGAGACUGAAAUUGAAAACUAUUGCCUAGCGGUGUUGAAUGGUCAUUACAAAAUUGAGGAAAUUAACAGUACGAGCAUUAUUCUCAUUCCAAAGGUUGCUUCACCAAAGAACAUGAGGCAGUUUAGACCAAUAAGUUUAUGUAAUAUUCUUUAUAAGGUGGUUUCGAAGGUUCUAGUUAAUAGAUUUCAGAAAGUCCUCGUUGGGUGUAUUGAUAAGACACAAGAGGCCUUUAUGGUUGGACGAAAAAUCUUUGAUAAUAUCUUUGUAGCUUAUGAAAUAUUGUAUUCCUUGAAGAAGAAGAAAAUGGGGUCGACGAGGUCUUUUACUUUGAAGCUUGACAUGAGUAAGGCCUAUGACCAGGGUGAAUGAAGCUUUUUAGAAAAUGUGAUGGGAUCUAUGGGUUUUUGUAAUGUGUGGACCUCGCUUGUUAUGAGGUGCGUGUCUAGUGUGUCGUAUUCAGUAAUAUUGAAUGGGUGUCAAUGGGUAAAUUUUUAACCUUCUAGACGUUUACGAAAAGGGGAUCCACUUAGCCCUUAUUUGUUUUUGAUUUGCACUGAAAGGUUCUCAAGGCUGUUGCACAUGGCAAGAGAGGAUGGAAAGCUUCAACGGGUGAAGAUUGGACAUGGUGACUUAAGUGUUAGUAACCUUUUCUUUACUGAUGAUAGCAUUUUGUCCAGUAAAACAUUGAUUGAGGGGGAAAUUUUCAUAAAGGUUGUGGUGGAUGAAUAUGAGGCAAUAUCAGGGCAAUUAGUUAAUUUUGAUAAAUCCCUUAUUUUCUUUGGUGGUAAUGUUGAGAACAUGAUGUGGGAGCAAAUAGGCAGAAUCUUGGGUGUACGAAUUUCAAAUAAUCCAGAGAGGUAUUUGGGUUUGCCUACAAUUGUGGGUAAGAGGAAGAAGCAGGCUUUUAUGGAUUUUAAGGAGAAAUUGACAUGAAAGAUUCAAACAUGGAGUGUGCGUUACCUAUCAAUGAGAGAGAAUGAGGUAUUCAUUAAAGCCAUUUUACAAGUCAUCCCAGUUUAUGCUAUGCAAUGUUUCAUGUUUCUAGCUACUUUAUGUCGUGAUUUAGAAAAUCUAAUGUGUAAAUUUUGGUGGUGAAAUUCCAACUCUGGCAAGGGUAUUCAUUGGUGCAAGUGGAGUGUGUUAUGUGCUUCAAGAACACAAAAGGGCUCGAUUUUAGAUAUCUUAAAUUAUUUAGUAUGGCCCUACUAACAAAGCAGGGAUGAAGCUAAUUACCCAGCCUAAUAACUUAUUUGCACGCGUUUUGAGAGGUAAGUAUUUCCAUCGAGGGAACUUUAUGAGUGCAUGUUUAGGAGCUUACCCUUUAUGUACCUAGCGUAGUAUUUGGGGAGUUCGUAAGCUUAUUGAGGUAGGAAUUGGCUGGAGGAUUGGGAAUGAAAUGGCCAUGAACAUCUGGAACGAUGUGUGGGUACCAAGUCCUAGAGAUGGCAAACUUUGGUUUUAGAAUAUUGAAAUUCGAUACACUAAUGUUUCAGAUUUAAUUAAUACAGAUACAUUUACCUGGAAUUGUGAUGCUAGUUGGGAAUUGUUUAGUGGUAAUCAGUUGAAGCUAAUCAUGUCAAUCCCUUUGGUGAGCGACGUACAUACGAAUAAGUUGGUAUAGAGAGGGGACAAAACUGGGGAGUACAUAGUGCAUAGCGGCUAUAAAUGGCUUCUUACAGGAGGUUAUGAGGGAAGGAGGCACGAUAGACACUCAUUGUGUGAUGUAAAAUUUGCCUCCUUCCCUCAUAACGGCCUAUUCACACGGGCUUGUGAAACUUGUAUGCACGAUAAUUUUCUAAGUUUUCCAAAGUUUUUAAAUCUUAUCGGUUUAGUCCCAAACUGCUUCCAAGCAUGAUUUAAGGUCUCGUAGUGCCGUAUAAGGGACAAUGUGAUUAUGUUUGAUGGAUUUAUGUGUUAAUGGAUUUUCAUGUGAAAAAUGUAAGAUGUAUGCUGUAAUUGAUUGGUAAUGCCUCGUAACCCUAUGUCGGUGACGGAUACAGGCUAGGGGUGUUCCAUUCACUAUGUGCUUUAUUAUCAAUAUUUUCUUGUAAACCUUUGUAACUUUCCAAUUUAAUUACCUUUUAUCAUAAAAGUUCUCUAUUCAUUAUUACAUAAAUUUUCUUUCACAUCUCACUUAAUUCACACAAUUAAUUACACUAUCUCAUGUUCCACAUUAAAUUUCUAUGAAUUUCACUUGUAUUACUUCCACCACAUUUAUUUCUCAAGUCCUUUAAUUUAAUCCUUUUAACACUUCAAACCAGGCCUAGAUGUUAUGGCCGAAUCUGGAGAUGUCACGAAGAAGGCUUUUGAAAACAGAGUUAUUUCGAUAAAGCUUUGUAACCUUUAUUCGAUAAAAACUAUUGAUGCAUGAUAUUCGUAACAGGUUUUAAAGAUUUAUAAAUGAAACGUUCUUGAGACUAACUUAUUAUCACGAUUAAGGCAAGUGUAACUAUCGAACAGUAGUAUAGUUCAGCAAGACCGAAUUGUCGAACCCAAAGGAACUACGAAUACUAGUAUUUACUUCCUUUUUAUUAUCUAGCCUAAAAUUUAAGAGGUUUGGUUGUCUAAACAAAUUACUAACUAAGAAUGCACAGAAAGAAAACUUGGGAAAAAUACUUUUGGAAAAAUUCGAUUGAUUGAGACAAUACCUAAGGAAAAAUCCACCUAAACUUCACUUGUUAUUUGACUCUGAAUCAGACGAUUUAUUCAUUUGACUUGAUCCGUAGAAAUCUCUAAGUUAUAUUAUUAUCUCUCUCAAGACUAAUAAUGUCUAACCCUAGAUUGAAUAAUUGAAAUCUCUUUCUAAUUAACACCCUAGAAUUGCAUUAACUCGAUCUAUGGAUUCUCUUAUUAGGUUUCACCCUAAUCCGGCAAAAUCUUGUCACCCUAUCUCUAGGUGCGCAAUCAAUUUUUCUUAAUUAUGACAAAUUUACUCUUAGACAAGGUCUAUUCCUUCUCUGAAUAAGAGUUUAAGUUGAAUCAACAUCCUGGAAUAUCAAAACAAGAAUUAAUAACAAGUCAAAUAUUUAUCAUACAAUUCAGAUAAUAAUAUCAAGAUCUGUCUUAGGUUUCAUUCCCCUUAAGUAUUUAGGGGUUUAGUUCAUAGUUAUGAAAGAAAACAUCUCAAAAUCAUAAAGAUAACAAAACAUAAGAAAACCCGAAACUCCUGAAGGAACUUGAAGGGAGAUCUCCAGUCUUGAUAAUGAAUCCGGCUUCUGAGAUGAACCAAUCGGCUUUCUUUGAGUAAUUUCUUGCUUUCUCUUCUACGUUCCCCUUCCUAAGUGCCUCCCCAAGUGUUUAAAUAGGCUUUGGAAUGCCUAAGAGCCCUCAAAAUUGGCCUUUUUCGAAUUGGAUUAAACUUGGGUUCGGCAGGGACACGCCUGUGUGACACGCCCGUGUGCGAAUACUUAAGGACGUGGUCAAGGCUGUUAACUGGGCAUGGGCGUGUGAUCCACCCGUGUAAGUCGUGCUUUGAUCCUGCCAAAUUGACACGGCCGUGUGACACGCCCGUGUGAGGAAGUCCAGGUCGUGUUGUUUUCCUAUGUGGGUCCAUUUUCUCCGUUUUCAGCCCGUUUCUCGCUCUUUUUACUCUCCUAUGCUCACCUAAGUAUAGAACAUGAAAUUAAAGGAGUAGGAGCAUCGAAUUCACCAAAUCUAAGAAGAAAUCAUCCGUAAAUGCACUAAGCAUAGGAUAAAAAUAUGUAUAAAUUACGGUUUAUCAACUAUUAUUGAAAGCAUUAUUUAAACAAUUCAUUGUCAAAACAUAAUUUAUAGCAGAAGUCUUAGAAAUCGUCAUAUUUAAUAAUCUCGUUCGUAUUUUCAGAAAACCAUUGUUUUAUUAAAAACUAUGUUUUUAGUCAACCGUCACAAACAAAAAGUCAAGUUAAAAAUUCAAAUCCCAAAAUAAAAUCAAACAGUUCGGAGAGUCCAUAAAUUAUAAAACUUCCAGAAAAUAAUCCUUAAUUAAAUAAAUAAAAAUCAUAAUCUUAAAUAGUUACGAACUCGUGGUCACAGUGAGGCUCCGUCACACCGAUCCGCCUAAGUCUGUGGAUUACCUGAAUAGAACAGACAAACAGAUGUGAGUUUUCGUAAACUCAGUGUGUAACCCAACAAAAAUAGAUAUGCAAUACAUACAGAAAUCUCAUAUACAGUCAGAUGCAGAUAACAAAAUCAAUUAAGUAGUAUAGAUAUACAGAAUCCUAUCCCUAUCCUCUACAUACCAUCUCUGACCAUCCUAUCACACUAAGUGGGGUUAAAAACACCUACUCAUCCCUACACACCAUAUAGUGUCAAUGCGACAUAUUACAGAUAAUGUGCAGUUAAGUUACUAAAAUAUAGAUGAAGUGUCGCCGUACAGACCAUUUCCUCCACAUAUGCAAAACCCACCUCAAUCACAGAUGCAGCAUAGCAUAUACAAUAAUAUCAUGCAUAACAUGCUCAUAUUCAGAUAGUAUAUAUUUACUUAAACAGAACAGAUAUACAUAUCGGCACCCUAUACAAGGUAGGCUAUUAGAAUAUUAGAUCACAUAAUUUAGAGUUUGUUUAGCCCUUACCGACCCUACGUAGGCCUACAGUCGAUCGGAACGGGCCGUGCGGCCUAAGAGAAAAUUUCAAAAUUAUGGACCCAUAUGCCUGUGUGCGCCCAUAAGCCUAGAUUGUCCUUGCCCAUAUGGCCCAUACGGCUUGGCCCAAAUCCCACACGCUCGUGUGGCAUACCCGUAUAGCCCACACUCUCAAAUUGGUCUUGCCUGUGUGGCCCACACGACCACACCCACACCACCACACGACCAUGUCUUGCGUACAAUCAUGCCUUCGUCAAACACAUGGUCGUGUCUCGCACAUGGCCAACCACACGGCCAGGUACACACCUGUGUGGUGUUGACAGUAUGGUUUUUCAGCUUUCGCCGAGGCUCAAUUUUCUGCGUUUUUGGAACACACCUGUUACAGUUUCGAUGCGAAACCAGCCCCAAGACCGCCAGCAUCUAAAAACAGAAUCCCAAAGCCCUAUUAACAAAUAAUUUACGAAAUCAAGAAAACUAAAACGAGCAACAUUCCACACUUACCACUACAAAACGACUACACGCGAAAGUUAAACCGUUGAAGCGAAAACCACAAAUUGCACUGCCUUCACCUACACAACUGUUCACAGAAUUAAGAUUCCCUACAACUAUCGUCACACUACUACAACGAAAAAUAAUUGAGAAACUUACUGAAACUGCGCGAAGUACAGCAAGAGUGAACAAAAAUUGAAGGGAACGGAAGAACAAGGAUUAAGCCAAACAAAUGAGGAACAAAAGAUGAAAUUGACAGAAAAGUGGGGAUGAAGCAAAAAGCUGACGUCAAAUUUUAGAAGAAGAGAAAAAUUAAUUAAAAUUUGAAAAAAUAAAAAUAAAAAUAAAAGAUAUACCAACAUAAUCCCCUAUUUUUCUCCCACUAACCCGUUAACUCAUAACUCCCUCAGAGUUUUAGCUCUACAGAUAACCAAGUAAAAAUUAACAUCCACGCUUGCGGAGGAAUUCAAACACAAGAUCUCUAACACACUAACUCCCUUACCACUCAAACUAACAGGCUCAUUCUAAUAUAGAUUAACAGACAAUUCUAUAUAAGCCCACUCAACAAGGAUAAUGUUAGGAUUAGAAAAAUAACAAAAUUUGACAAAUAGGAAACUUGAACCCAAUACCUCACACACACCUAGAACACUUAACCACUAAAACAAAUACAUGUUUAUGUCAAAUAAUUACAGAAAUAGGAAUAAAUAAAUUAAGGCGUUACAAUCCUUGUUUCUAUAAAAUUUCACAUUUUCCCAUAAUUUCACUUAUCUAAUACUUUGUAUAUAUAUAUUUUACUAUCACAUAACCCAACUAUUAUGCUUUUAUUAUAAUUUCCUACUUCACAUAAUAAAUUAUUUCACACUAUUUUUUUUUACUUAAUUACUAAUUAGUUUACAAAGAUCACAUUUUAACCUUUAAAUAAUAAGGAAGUUCAUUGGUACUUACCUCUUUUCUAUCAAAAUCUCUUGUUCUGCUCUUCUCCUACCACUUGAUUCAUUUACUCAACUUUUCUAUUCAUCAACAUGUCAAAAACAUAAUAUUUUCUCAAGAGAAAUCUAUACUUUAAGACCAUUUUUAUGCUUUUCUAUCACUACUAAACUUAAAAAUAACAUAAAACCUUAACAUCCAUACCUUAUUCUCUUAAAACCAAAUUUUAACUUGACUUUCUCUCUCCUCCAACUUCUAUUUUCUUGAAUUUAACUUGAUAUUCUAGCUCUACAUAGUCUCCUUAUUAUUCUUCACUCUUGGUGGCUAUGGAAAUUCUUUUGAUUUCUAAGUGAAAAAAAUGGUGGAUUUUUUGUAAAAAGACCAACUUGUAAAGAAAAUAAAUUUUCUUUCUUUCUUUUAUUCUUCUCACGUUGGAAGCAUGGAAAGAUGAAAAGAAUUCUUUAUCUUUCUUUCCUUAUAUACUAAGUAAAAAUUAAUAAAAUAUAAAUAAAUAUCAAAUCAAAAUAUUAAUAAACUAAUAUUUAUUUAAUUAAUCUAAAAUAUCACCAACAUCAUCAUUACUCUUCAAAAUAUCUUUCUUGCUAAAUGACCAUUUUUUCCCGUAUGAUCUUUCAAAAUUUCUCUAUUGAAUCAUCACUCGUUUUAGUAAAAUUGCGAUUUAACUCCCUCAUACUUUUUCCACUUAUUUAAUUUGGUCCUAAUUCAUCCAUUUUCUUAUUCUAAAUCCUUCCACCUUUAAAAUAUUUUCACUAUUGGUCCUUUAAUUUUUUCAUAUUUACACUUCAACCCUUUAAAUUUUGAGUAUUUACUCUUAGGCCACAAAACUUUUCUCACUUUUUCAAUUUAGUCCUUUCCUGAAUUAAUACAUCAUAAUAUAUUUCCUAAACAGAUUUUGUUGACAUAACUCAAAAUUUCCCUUUUUGUCACUUUAUUUCCUUAUUUUACUGUAUCAAAGACUAUCUCACUUUCUUAUUGUAGUAACUUUCAAGGUGUUACAAUUAUAGUUGUUUAUGUAAUACCCCUAACCCUUAUCUGUCACUGGAACAGAGUUAUAAAGAAUUACCAGAAUUUUCAGAUAAAUUACGAACAUUUGAUAUUAUUUAACAUACAUAUCAAAAACUAAUCAUAAAUCACUCAUAUUGUCUAUUAUAUGAGCCAUCGAGGCCUAAAAUACACUUUAGUAAUAAAUCGGGACUCAAUCAGAAACUCAAAAAAUUUUUCACAAAAUUUCAAAAUUUUUCUUUAGUGUAAGGGACAUACGCCCGUGUGACCAGAUCGUGUGGCUCACACGGUCAAGGGACACGCCCGUGUCUCAGGCCCUGUGGCCAUUCGAAGUAGGGCACACCGCCAUGUCCAUAUCCGUGUAACUCUCUAACUUGGGUCACACGGCCAAGUCACACACCCGUGUGAUAGAUCGUGUGAAAAUACCUGGGCAUUCUAUUUCUAAAUUUUAAGGAUACAGGGGACACACGGCCAAACCACAUGUUUAUGUGCUUGGCUGUGUGUCACACACGGUUGAUGUAAUAGCCCGAAUUUCAGCGAUAUCAAAAAUAGUGGUUCGAGACCAUCAAAUCUGACAAAUGAACUUGUAGAUUAUAUUAUUUAAUAUUUAUGAGUCAAAUGUAGUUUUUAAAAGAUUUUUGAAAUAGUAAAUUGUGUUUUAUAAAGAUUUAUUUGGUCAAGAAAUUGAGAAAAAAGAGAUACAGAGAUCUCGAUGUUAUAAACUGAGCCAUAAAUAUUUUUAUGAAUAUUUACAGAGUGUCAAUAAGGUAGCAUUAAAAUUUCGUUAGAAAAUUUUGACGUUUGGAUGGUUAAUUAAAUAAAAAGGACUAAAUUGGAAAAUGUGUAAAAGCUGCUAAAAGGAUUAAAUAGCUCAAUUGUCAAAUGAGUAUUGUAGGCCAAUUUUGGCCCGCUUAUACUUUAGGCCCAAUACCUAAACUAACCCAAACAACAAACCCAACAGAAGCCCACCUAAGCUAGCCUAAUCCCGAAACCCUAACCCUAACCACCUAGCUAAAUCAGCCUCCCCACUUGCCUCUGACGACUCUGCAGCACCGGCCACCAACUCGAGUCAAAUCCACCGCCCAAACAUUGUCACAGUACCUGUGAACAAUAAACAGGAAAAGACAUAAAAUAGUAAUAGAAAAAUGCUUGUAAAAAUGGCUAUAAAAGCCGAAUCAAAACCAAUGUAAAAAAGGGGAUCACUUUUUUAAUACAAACAAUAGAUUCAAAACACUAAAAAAUCAGUCCAAACACAAACAAAAUAGCAGGCAAAUCCGAUCAAGGUAGCAAGUAUCCAUUUUUAUUUUUGUUCUUUUUUAUCCUAAUCUAUACACAUAUAUAUAAGUUUUUUUUCUAGAAAAAAUAAUAAAAAAUAAUAAUAAAAAAAGAGAAAAUUUUUACCUUUUCUAGCCACCGUGCAUGGUGGCCGGCAGCGACUGCCAGUGAUGGUCCGAAGACAGGACGGUGACCGGCCCUGUGGCCGGAAAUCGCCUCACCCCUCCCGUCUCUCUUUUUUUUUUCUCUCCAACAGCACAAAUGUUUUUUUUUUCUAAAAAAGGCCCUUUUAUAGCCUCCAAAACGACGUCGUUUUGGGGGCUGCCUUUUAACCCCAAAACGACGUCGUUUUAAGCUAACCCGCGUGUUGACCCGACUCGCUCCAAGGAUCCGAGUGUUUUUACUUAAGGGUCUAAUUGUGCAAAUGGCCCUUCCGCCCUUUUAUGUCUUCGCAAUUGAGUUUUUAAUAUUUUUAAAUUUGUCCCCGAAAUUUGUUGCGUUUUUUAUCUGGUCCUCGGCCAUGCGCUGCGUUUUAGGAUGAGAGAAUAUUGCGCUUUUGGUCCUCUACUAUUUUGCGCGCGUUCAAAUAAGCCCUUUCUUUUUGUUUUUAUUUCGAAUUUGCCUCAAAAAUUUCAUUUUUAAUUCAAUUUCGUCCUUUUUUCACUUUUUCUCAUUAUUUUAUUUUAAUUUUAAUAUUACUUAUACUAUUAUAUUUUAUUACUGUUAUUAUUAUUAUAUUUUUAUUUAUUAGCAUUUCAUUAUUAUUUUUACUUAAUACUUAUAUAUAUAUUAUAUAGUAUUAUAAUAGUUUUUAAUAUUAUUGUUUUUGUUAAUAUAUUCAUAUGUCAUAUAUGUAUUCUUUUAAUAUAUAUAUUGUACUCCAUAUUACGCAUAUAUAUAUUGAUAUUAUAUUACGUAUAUUAUUUUUUUAAUAUUAGAUUUUUUAUAUAUUAUGUAUAUAUAUUUUUAUAUCAUAUUAUUCAUAUAUCUUAUUAUCUUAUGUAUAUAUAUUUUUUAAUAACUAUAUUAUGUAUAUAUAUUCUUUUAAUAUCUUAUUAUCUUAUUAUCUUAAUACUCAAAAAUAUUAUGUAUGUAUUUUUAACACUAUAUUACGUACGUAUUUUUAACACUAUAUUACGUACAUGCUUUUAAUAUCAUUAUUAUGUAUAUAUUUUUAAUAUAUAUAUAUAUGUGUAUAUUUAUGUAGUAUUAUUAGUAGUUGUUUUUAAUAUUAUUAUUAUUUCUAAUAUGUAAAUAAUAUAUAUUUUUAAUACUAUGUAUACUUUUUAGUACUAUUAUUAUAUUUAUAUUUUAGUAUAUAUACGUAUGUAUAUAGGUAACAUUAUUAGUGUUUUUAAUAUCAUGUUUCCGUCACUUUACUAACUAUUGUUAUAUGUAUAUAUAUUUAUUAUUAUUAUCAUUAUAUUUAUUAUUAAUAUUAUUAGUACUAGUUUUGAUUUCCACUUAAUAUUUAUAUAUGUAUAUACAUGUACGUAUUUAUGUAGUGUAUUAAUAGUUUUUUAUUUUUUUUUGUUUUGAAUCUUCUUCAUAUUAUUAUCAUUUCUAAUAUAUAUAUAUUGUAUAUGUUUUUUUAUAUAUAUUAUGUAUAUAUUUUUAAUACCAUACUAUUCAUAUACUUUUUAUGUUAUCUCAUGUAUAUAUUUUUUAAUAACUAUAUUAUGUAUGUAUUUUUAACACUAUAUUAUGUACAUAUUUUUAAUACUAUGUAUAUGCUUUUUAUUCCUAUUAUUACGAACAUAUUUUAAUACAUAUAUGUAUAUAUUUAUAUAUCGUUAUUAUUAGUUAUUUUUUUGUAUUAUUACUUUUUUCAAUAUAUAUUGUAUAUAUUUUUAAUCUAGUAUUAUAUGUUUUAUAUAUAUCUUCACUACUGUUUCAUAUUUGCAUUAUUACUAUUAUUAUCAUGUUUAAUACCAUAUGCACUACUAUUGUUUUAUGACUAUUAUUAUCACAUAUACAUUGUUAAUGUUUUAUAUAUUAUUUGCUUCGUAUAUUCUUAACUUUUCAUUAUUAUUUGCCUGUGUCGAAUUUAGCAUAUUAGAUCACAUCUUAUUUCAACAUCGAUAUUAAUUUUUUUUUCUUUUUAUUCUUAUUUUAAAAUAUUUUCAUUCAUGUUUUUUUCAUCGCUAUGUUGGGUGAAUAUCAUCGGCUCGUGUUAAAAAUGGAACGCCAUUUUUAAAAGAAACUGAAAUUUUAAAAAUUUUCGUGUUUUGAUCGGAUCACGAUUAAAAUUUAAAUUGAACUUGCAUUUUUGAAAAUUAAGGCAACACAUGUUUAAUAAGAUACAUAUUUUGGGCGUCGCGAGGGUGCUAAUACCUUCCUCGUGCGUAACCGACUCCCGAACCCUAUUUUUCUCUGGAUUUUCGCGUAGACCCAAAUUCGGCCUUCAUUUUUGUUCAAAAAUAAAUUUUCUUUUAAAAAAAAGAGGAUUUAUUAAGUUUCCGAUCACACCUAGAAAAAAGAUCGGUGGCGACUCUUUUUCUUUUUAAAACCGAAAUUCCAUUUUCAAAUUUUCAAAUAAUCGCCUCAACUAGUGACCAAAACGAAAAUUUUACGUCGCUACAAUGAAGAAUGACCUAACGUGAAAAUAAGCCCAAAUGAGAUAUUUUGGGUGGCAAUAGCUGAGAAAAAUAAAGAAAUGGGUGAAAUAAGGGGAAAAUUAGAAAAUUGCCAAAAUUAACUAAAUAAAAAUGGGACUAAAUUGGAAUAUCUAGAAUUCUCUUCAUUUCUCUUCAUAUUCAUCAGCUGAAAAAUAGCCAUGGAAGAGGGUUCAAGCUGGUUUUCAUACUCUAGCUUCAUGUAAGUUUAAUUCUUGCUUUCUCCUUGAAAUUUCUAUGUUUUUGGACUUUUACAAUUGGGUCCAACUUAUUAUUUCAUUAGUUUUUGAUUCCAUGGCUAAUUUUUAAAGUUGUUAUGGAAGAGUGCUGGAAGCAUAUGACGAAUAAACAUAGAAUUGAAGCUUUAAUUUUGAUAUAUGAUGAUUUUAUCAAGUAAAAUUGAUGGAAAUUGAUUUUAGGACCUAAUUGUGAAAGAGUUUGGAAAUAAGGUCUAGUGCUAAAAUUCUAAUUUUCAAUAGUUAUGAAGUAGUUUAAAAUGAUAUAAUAAAGUAUUAAUUUAUAAAAAUUAGCUCAAUUUAGGGGUUAAUUGAGUAAGGAUUGAAUUGUAUGAAUUGUAAAAUUUGGGGCAAAAUGGAAAUCAAUUUUGCACUAAAAUUGUUUUGGACAGCAGCAAUAGUCUAACUUUGAAAAAUAACCAAAAAUUGUAGCAAUCGAAUUAGAGGAUGAAUAAAAUAUGAAAUUAAAGAUUAUUGAGUCUAGUUUUUUAUAAAAGAAAUGAUGUAAGCAAUGGAAUUAUAAAUCAUGAGAUAUAAUAAAUCUUGUGAGAUAAGGUUAGAAUGAUUUCGGGUUCCCCUGUUUUGACUUUGGAAAAUCAUAAAAAAUUGGAUAAAAAUAAUUAGGGGCUUAAAUCUAUAUGUUUAGAAUCUUGAAUUAGUCUAUUUUCAAGAAAAAUAAACUAGAACAUCAUUCGAGUCCUGUACGAGGAGAUAAUUAAUUUUUAGUGAAGAAGGGUCAAAACUAUUAGACAGCAGAAUAGGGGUGACUUUAAAGAAUAAACUGUACUUAUUGGUUCAACCAAAAAUUCUGAAAAUUUUAUGGUAAGAAGAUACAUGAGUCUAGUUUUAGGAAAAAUUAGUGGAUCUUAAUUUAGAUUCUGUAGUUUGAGAUAAAAAUAAUUUAGUGACUAUGAAAAAAAUGGAUAGCUUGAAUAUUCACAUAAGUAAAUAGUGAAAAUUAUGGAUAAUGUUACUUACAAGUGUGUUAUUUAUACUAAGGAUGUGGAUGGAGAGGAGGAGGAGGAAAAAUAUAUGAUUGACUCAUGUAUAAAUUGAUCACAUGCCCGAUUAUAAUCUAUAAGUGUUGAAUUAGAAAUGAUAUAAUGUUUUAUUUGGAAUAUUUAUUAUGAAAUUAUGAUUAUCAUUAUAAUACAAAAAAUCGAACUUGUGAGUUUAUAUGGCUAAAUUUUAGUUAUCAUUUGUUAAUUUUAUGAAUUUCGUGAUGUGUUAUUUCAUAUGUAUUGAUGAUAAAAUCGUGAAUAAUGUAAAAGUAUGAAAAUUGAAUAAAUGAUCAAAUUGAGCAUUUCAGUUCAGUGACAAGAUGAAUUGAUGGAAAAGACCAUGGUUGGACCAUGGCAAUAAGUGAUAAGUGAUAGCUUCGGCUACACUUAUCUAAUCAAGGACAAGUGAAAGUGAUAAGUAUAGCUUCGGCUACACUUAUCUGAUCAAGGACAAGUGAAAGUGAUAAGUGAUAGCUUCGGCUACACUUAUCUGAUCAAGGACAAAUGACAAGUGAAAAGUGAUAGCUUCGGCUACCUGAUCAGUGAAAAGUGGUAGCUUCGGCUACCUGAUCAGUGAAAAAUGAUAGCUCCGGCUACCUGAUCAGUGAAUAGUGGUAGCUUCGGCUAAAAGUGACAAGUGAUUUCCGUAUAAGACCAUAUCUGGGAUAUGGCAUCGUUGUGAUAUGUGAAUAAGAUGUAAGACUAUAGCUGAGCUAUGGCAUUCCAGUGAAAAGACCAUAGCUAUGCUAUGGCAUCAGUGAUUAUCAGUGAUUAUCAGUGAAAUUCAGUGCAUACCGGUGCAAACCAAUUCGUAACAUGUUCACUAAUUUGAUAAAGUUUGGGAAGUAUUACAUGGAAUUAUGUGAUAUAAGGAAAUACGAGUUGAUGAGACAUGAACAUAAAACUUGGUUGAUGAAUGAGUUCAUUUUUGAUUAUAUAUUUCUACACCUUGAGUGUAUUAUCCGUAUGAAUUGGUAUUCCAAAUGAGUUAAUGAGAAAAGUUCUAAUGUGAAAUAACCUAAAUUUGAAAUGAAAUAUCAUGAAAACGUACUUGAAAUACAUCGGUAUGUCUUGUAUAUGUUAUUUGAAUUCAUAAAUGUGGAAAGUAAAUGUAUGUGGCAAUAUGAGAUGAUGAUAUCUGUAUAUGAAAUUUAUUGAUGAAUACCUACAUCCAAAUUUAUAUGAUAGAUUUUAGUGAACAUUGAAAUUAGGCUCAAUAAGUGAUUUGUCAAUUUAAAUCGUGAUUGGCAGGACGAGUUAGUGAAUUGCAUGUUUAUGAAUUGUUACACGUUUUUCUCUGAAAUACAAGGAAGUGAUGGUAAUUGAUACAUGGAAAUAUGAAACUAUAAUAUAUAUAUAAAAACGUGGAAUAUGUUUGAUAAAUGUGUUCAUUUAUAAUUAUAGAAUUGUGCACCUCAAGCGCAUUAUAUGUGUAAAGAUGAUGUUUCAAAUGAUUUGAUGAGUAAAACUCAAAUAUGAAGUUGCUCGAAACCAAGACAAAUUGUUAUGAAACUGUAUAUGAAAUACAGAGGUAUGAUUGUUAUAUGUUAUACGAAUAUAUAAUAUAAAAAAAGUAUAAGUACAAGAGAAAUUUAAUGGGAAUUGAGCCCAUAUACUUUUCUGGUUAUUUACAUGAAGUGUACAACUAACAAAUGGCAUUAAGUGUAAGGCUCGGUUGAAUAUCCUAAACUGGUUUUUGUACGUAUUAAAUAUGAGUGAAGAUAAAGGAUCAAAUGAGUGAGAAAUAUGGCUGGAAAAUAGCCUAAUUUUUGUCUACAUGGGUAGACACACGAACGUGUGUCAUAACAUUGUGUGACACACGGCCUGGCAACAUGGGUGUGUACUAAGGCCGUGUGACCCGAGUUUUUUCAUAGAUGCAAGUCAGAGAGUCAGACGCCCUAGAGACAUGGCCAUGUGAGCCACACGGCCACACCACACGAGCGUGUGACCUUUGUAAAUGAGAAAAAUUUUGGGAUUUUUUGAAAAAUUUCAUACAACUCCGAUUUAGUCCCGACCUGAACCUAAUGCAUGAUUUGGACCUUGAAGGUCCGUUAAAGGAACUUUUAUAAUCAAUCUCGGUAUUUGAAUGAUAAAUGAUUUAAAUUAUCUGUAAAUGUUCCGUACUCCUUGGUAAUACCUUGCACUCUAUUCUGGCGACGGAUACGAGUAGGGGUGUUACAGCUGAGACACACAUCCUUAUCUCUACCCGUGUGGAUGGAAUUAGGCAAUUUUAAGGCCACAUUUCUCACCCAUUCUUACUUUCAACCUAAACACCUCAAUUUCAUACUCAUAGACCAUAACAAGACCUUUAAUACAAUCAAUUCUUAGCUCUAAAAAUGUCAUAUUAUCACAUAUAUCCUAACAUUCUAAAAUAUCGCAUUAAUCAAUUCACAUAUUUGAUUACUUACAACAACCAUAUUUUACCAACUCAGUCAUCAACAUGACUAUAAUUUAUUCAUCAAUUCUCCACACCCAAGCAUAUAUCACGCAUGAUAAGACAAUGCAUACAUAUUUAAGUUAUUUAUGUGAACAAAGCAUCAUUCAUAACAUUUAUACAAGCUAACUUUAAUCAAAUCCUAUACAUGUCAUAUAAACCAUAGUGUAAGUUUUAAAAACUACCAGAAUAAGUUGGAUAGUGUGAUUUGUUGUGCUGAUCCUAUUUCCCGACCUCAUGAUAAUCUACAAAGACAUUAAAGAACACAAGUAAGCUUAAUGAAGCUUAGUAAGUUCGAUAGGUUAAACAUAAAUCUUACCGAACUAACUAUAACAAAUCAAUUAAGUAAAUCAUUCAAUAUAGACUUCCUGUCAUUCACAAACCCAAUUGAUGAAUACACUUAUUUCAAAUCAAUUCCAACAUUAAAUAACAAAUCUUCGAAUUUCAAUUAUAUAAAAUCACUUACCAAAUCUUACCAAAUUGGAGAACGACUUACGGUUAAUAGAACAUCAUUUUCAGAAGCCCAAAGGCUGAACAGAAGCUCAUGAGAGCUAAACAUAAACCCAUAAGGGUUGAACGGAAGCUCAUAAGAGCUGAACGGAAACUUAUAAGGGUUAAACAGAAGCUCAAAAGAGCUGAACAGAAACUCAUAUGAGUUAAAUAGAAGCUUAUGAGAGCUAAACGAAAGUAAACAAGAAGGUUUGCAACAAAUGCUAAACCUUGAUUUACUUGGGUAAUUUGUCACAUUUUCCUCCGAUGUCGUCAAUUCGUCAAAUGCCGAAUGUACUCAAAUCUCGUGUUCCAACCGUUUCAAACGUUUAAUUUAAAUUCAUAAUUUUAACAAUAUUUCACUUCCAAAAAGAGAUAUGAAUAAACAUAUAAUACCAUUCAUUAAUUCAAUAUAUAUAUUAAAUUUUAACCUACAAACUAACUUGGAUUGAAUUGUAAUAUUUGCAGAAGUUUAGGAACUAUUCCUCUAAUUUUCCUUUUUCACGAGUGUCUACGGGCUCUUGAUCUAAAAUAUAAAAUUACUCAUUCAUUAGCAUAUAUUCUAGUUCCAAUUCACUUCACAAUUAAUACCCCUCAAUUUUUUGAAUUUACACAAUUACCCCAACUUUUACAACUUUUACAAUUUAGUCCCUUAAUUAAUUAGUCUAUCAAAUGAACUAAUUUUUCUCAACUGAUAAUUUAUCUAAAUAUUAUAGGCUAUCAUAUAGCCCUUGAUAAAUAGAAAUUUAAUACCAAACCCUAAUUUAUAACCUUUUCACAACUUGGUCCUAAAAUCAAUAUAUAACAAAAUCACUAUGUAAAAUCAUCAUACAACAAAAUUAAAGCUCUAAAUCCAUGUUAUUUCAUCAAAAAAAUUCAAUAUUCAUCAAUGGUAACUUUCAAAUUUUCCAAUAAAAUAAAAAACUAAUGAAUAACUAGUUGGGCAUAAUUGUAAAAGUUUCAAAAACAUAAAAAUUAGAAGAAAAUGGAAAGAAUUAAACUCACAUGGAGCUAAAAUAUGAAAAACCAGCUUAAGGAGCUCUCCUAUGGCUCUUUUUGGCUGAAUUUUGGAGAAGAAAUGUCUAGAAAUCAAUUAGCCAUUUGUUUUUUUUUAAUUUCAACUAAAUUACCAUUUUGCCCUUAAUUCAUUUUAUUUUAUUUCCUUCCCUGCUUAGGUCGCCUCAUGCCUAUAUUUUGGGCUUAAUUUCUCCUUAAGUUCCCCCCUUAUUUAUUUAUCUAUCCAUUUAAUCACUAUUUUUUAAUUAGUAAGUUUUACACCUUUUUCAAUUUAGUCCUUUUUAGUUCAUUAAUUAUCAAAACAUUAAAAUUUUCUAACGAAACUUUAGUACUACCUUAAUGACACUCUUUAAAUAUUUAUAAAAAUAUUUACAACCCGGUUUGUGGAAUCAAGGUCUCGAUACCUCAUUUUUUAAACCACUUGACCUAAUAAAUCAUUAUAAAACACAAAUUACUAAUUCAAAAAUCUUUCUAAAGCCACAUUUGACUCGUAAAUACCAAAUAAUAAAAUUUACAAGCUUAUCAUCGGAUUUGGUGGUCUUGAACCACUGUUUCCAAUACCACUGAAAAUCAGGCUUUUACAGUUUAAACUUUUAAAAUUUUGAUUAUCAUUAUUAACAUUUUCAAGUUGGAAUUUUUUUGUUGUCAUUACACAUUAAUGCCUUAAUUGGUUACUAGUGUAAUGAUACGAGGAAAAAACUUAGUUAUUAGAUAUGUAUUUCCAAGGUAAAACUUGCUCAGAAGGGAAUAGGACAUGAUUCAGUCUGUGGGGUUUGUGGUCAGGAUUCUGAAGAUGUACUUUAUGCUACUAAAGAUUGUUUUGUAUUGAGAAAUGUUUGGGACCAUUUAAUUCCAAUCGAAUGGUGUUCUAGGUUGUAUGCAAGAAAUCUUCAAGAAUGGCUUGUUCUAAAUUUGCAAAAUCAACAUAAUUGGCGUUUAGGAGAUGCUGACUGGCAAUGUCUAUUUGGGAUCAUCGCUUGGCGCUUGUGGAAGAACUGCUAUCUUUUUAUUUUUCAAGGUACUUCAUGGACCAAUAGUGAAAUUAUCAAAGUGGCGAAUAGUUAGGUUAAACAAUACUUUUCUUCUAAAGGGAGCAAGGCAAAUGACUCACAAGGUAAGUUUCCACCUCUAUUUUUAAAUAAUGGCUAUGUCCUUUUGAGUACAGAUGGAUCUGUUCUGGAGAAAGCUGGAUUUGUAGUAGCAAGAGAUAUAGUACGUGAUCGAGGCGGAGCUUGGAUUCUUGGAUUCAAUAAAUAUUUGUGGAAUUAUACCAUCUUUGAAGCUGAGUUGUGAGGUAUUCUAGAAGGUUUAUCUCUGCUCGUGGAGCGGGGAUAUGACAGCGUAUUGAUCCAUUUUGAUUACCUGUAAGCCGUUACAACUAUUUUAGAGGGAUCUUCUGAAGGGUCUAAUUCUGUUUUGGUUCGAAGAAUUUAUCAAAUACUAUUGUGGUUUAAAUAUUGGGACAUUAGACAAAUUUUUAGAGGGGAAAAUCAAGAAGCUAACCAUUUGAGCAAAAUGGCCUAACACAGAGAUUAUGGGUUAUUUCUGUUUUCGACCUCUCCUUUAGAAGGGUUAGUCUAGUUAUUGUAAUAUGUUUUUAUUUUUACUUUUUCACCAAAAAAAUAAAGAAUAGUUAGUACAAAUUUAAAUUUGAAACUAGAAAUGAGUAAAAACUAUUGUUAAAAAUAAAAAAUCUUCAAAAUAAGCAAAAAAAAAUUCCUUCUGUUUGCUAAAAAUAAGUCAUAAGAAUGGCUAAGAAAUGUUUGAAGCUUUCUUUAUUUCUUAAGUUAUGAAGGAUGACAAGGAAUAAGAUGAAAUAUUUUCAUAUUUCCUUCCACUUUUUUUGGUAUAUAUAUUAUGAUUAUAACUUAAGUAAUUAUGUUUUUAUCUUAAUUAAUCAAAUAUAACAUUAGGUCUACUAUUUCUUAUUUUUGCAUGGUCUAUUUGCUAUUUUGAACCUUUAGUUAAUUGUAAUUUAAAUCCCCAAAUCAUUUUCUAAUUAAAAAUCUAUAACGAUUGAAUUUUAUAAUUUAGUUUCUUAACCUCAAUUAAACACAAUUCUAACUAAAUUAACUAUUCAAAUCUGUAUUCAUCUAUAUAUUAAUUUUAUAAAUAUCUUUAUUUAAUAUUUAUAAAUUCAGUUUACUAAAAACAAUAUGAAAGAACUAUAUUUUUUGACGAAGAGAAAUGAUUUUCUUUUCUUAAACGAAGAGAAUAGUUUUCCUCGGUAAAGAAAGGCUGACAUUGUGAUAUUGAAUCAUGGGAAAAAGGAGAAACCCAAGUUUAUUGAUUCCAUCAUUAAUCCUAUUAUCAUUCUCAAAUUGUCAAAUUUAAAGCUACAACCCCCCCCACCAGCCUACCACACAUGCGAUCUUCACCAUUCGUUUGGCGGAAUUCUUUAUUAAGCUGCAUGAAACAAGACAUGAAAUAUUUAUCUAUAUAUAAAAUACACAUUAAAAAGUGUGGAACAGCUGGAUCCAAAUUCAAUAGGGACUCUCUAUUCAAGGCCGUAGAAGCCAUCAAUUUUAUAAGCAAUAGCAGGCAAGGGAAAAGAAGGCUAAUGGGUGGGAGGUCAAUGCUUGCUUGGAGUUAGAUAUGGAAAUUGGAGCUCUGCAAACCGGUCUAAUAUAAGCUACAAUCCAAAAUUUUAAAUGAUUUGGCAUUGAACUCUUUUACAAACAUUUCCAAUCAAAGUGAGAAUGCUGGAAAUCGCUAACUUCUUUAGUUGUUUUCACUCAAAUAUGAACAUAAAUGGUGGUGAAUAGGGUAGCCAAAAGUGGGUUACUAAAAGUGAUUGUAACUUUCCUCCAAGAGCACUAACAAUCAUUUAUUGCAAUUAUUGCCUCUAAGGUCAUACUUAUCCAUUAUCUAGGCUCUAGACCCUAUCGCUAAACUUGCGUAUUUCAAACGAACGGUAUUGAGUUUCUAAUUAAAUGACUAAGGUUGAAGACUAUUUGAUGCUCUUUUUCCGAUGUGAAAUACUCCUUUGACCCCAAUAAUGUUUGCUUCCUUAAAAACAUGUAUGACAGCAAUUACAUAGUACUAUAUGUGUAUACAUCUCCAAUUAGCCUAUACUCGAAAAGAAAAUAAUUCAAAACUUACUAGGCAAUUCCACUUUAGUCGGACCAACUCACGAGAAGCUUUGGGUGUAAUGUAAUGUAAUGUAAGGACCACCAACUUGUAUGAAAUGAUGGCAGCUUUAGGUUGCUUGUUGGUUGGCCAUGCAUGCCCCAUGCUCCAUCCAAUUAGAGCAAUCCCCCCUUCUGAUUUCCAAACCUGUGUAUUGUUUUAUCCCCCUUGUUUUUCACAUGCAUGCCUAUUUUUUAAUUAAUAUAAUAAACCUUGUUUCUUCUCCCACCCCCAUCUUCAAUUCUUCCACUUCAUCAUGAUUAGUUUACUAGGCUUUUGAUUCUUCCAGGCUGUCCUCUAAUUAGUAGUUAUAGAGUUAAUUAGCUUGAUUACUAUGAACCUUUGAAAUUUGAAUCCAAAUGUGGGUAAUCAACAUAUCAUUUAUUUCCUCAUUAAUGAAUCUUUGCAAUUGGACGUUGGUAGCUUGAGACUUUACUAAAGCUAAGCUAGCUUCAGGUCAAAGCAGACCAACCUUUGAGGUUCAACUUUUACAAUCCCUCGCUUCAUAUUUUCAAGCUUCCCAACCAACUUUUUGUUAUAAUUAAUGGUAUCCCAUUUCUUUUUAUUUAUUUUUUUAAUAAAAUUUCACUUUGAAUUUGAUGUAGUUUAAUUAGACUUGGAUGGUGGGAAGGUCUGAGAUUCAUUAAAUCAAAAGGUACUACAAAAGCAAUUACACAGCUUAAAAUGGUUGCAACUUACAACUGGGCGCAUACAUGUACUGCCACUAUUCUCCAUUCCAACCAUUAGUUAGGUUUACAGCUUGUUGAGAUAGAAUGAUAAUCCGAAAAUAUUCAAAAGAAAAAAGAAAUUAUUUAAAACUGUUCAUGAACUCGAAUCAAAUGAAUAAUUUAAAUUAAUAAGAAGAAAAUAUGUAUCAUUAGUUGAUCUUUAUUGUUUAUUAUCUCUAAGUGUAAUUUUGAAUAUUGAAUAUAAAAAAAAUUAAUUGAAGAAAAAAACACUAAUAUAAAAUACAGAGUGUAUCAAAUAAAUUUAAGGUAACACCACAUUUCAUUCCCUUUGAACUUUGAAGAUAGUUUGAUUUCACCAUCAAUUCAUUGAAUGCAUAUAUUGUUUUCAAUCAUAAACAUACCUCUUUGCUCUCCUUAAUUACAACCCCUUUUCUUUGUUGGAACCAACCUUAGAGUUUUCACAAGCUAUUUACACGUAUGAAAUAUGAAAUGAAUAUAUGGUACCAUAUGACGAGUGAAACAUAAAUAGUGAGGCUUGGGCACUUGUGUUGUGGGAGUUGUGACAUCUUUCCAAUCCAAAACCAACCAAUGCGACCCCAGCUAGCAGUAAUGAUGAGAUCCUACAGUUAAAAAAAUUUGGAGAAUGAUGUGUCAUUUUCAGCACCAUCCUCUUGAAUCUGAAAAAUCAAACUUUUGGGACCAUAUCUUUCAUUUUCAUUUAUCAAAACAUGACCAAAAAAAUUGCCCAAUGCCACAAACUCCGAAACAACACUCGCCAAAUCAUUCGUCACGUUUGAGCAGGGAGAAUCUCAGAUGUACCCAGAAAAACAAGCACCAUAUUAAUACACUCAUAAUAAAUUUAUAAAUGAAACUGACUGAAAAUUGGGUGUUAGCAUAGGGGUUAUAUAAUAGUGGGUGGUAGAGUUAUAAAUAUGCAAGUCCACAGCUGUAAAGAGUGGUCGUCCCUAAAACACUCAAUUCCAUCAUCGGCAAAGGACGGUACGAUACAAGGCUGGACUUAAUGGUGAGCCGCGUGGAGUUUGUUAUGGUUUAGUGAAAGCACACAGUAUUUGGCUUAAUUAACCAUUUGUCGUCAAUCUUCAUCAUGCUUUCUUCCUGUUUCCGCGUAUCAAUGCCCUUUCCCACAUUCAUUUGCCCACCUUAAUAUUCACAACUAAUCUUAUCUUGGGUUUACUUAGACCCGUGGAUUUAAGUAAUGUUAAUUCGAGUUUUAAUAUUUUUGAGUGAUUCUGAUUCAGAUAAAUUUUGGACAUUAUUUUGAAAUUAAAUCAUUCAAAUUUUCUGUUUAUUCAAUUAUUUUAAGAAUUUAAGUUAAAUUAGUUUAAGUUGUUAAUUUUUAUAUUAAUUUUAGAUUGAAUCAUAUUGAACAACCGUUAAAUUUAUGGAUAUAAUUAUACUUAUUAUGCAUGUAAAUUUUUAAAUCGAUCCGAUAUUUUUAUCAUAUCAAUCUAAAAUACUUUAUAUAUUAAUAUAUAUUCAAGGGUUGGAAUUAUUUUUUUUUGUUUGUUUUAAAUUUACACUAAAUUCAAUCUACAUAAAUAAACUAUAAAAUAUAUUAAUAUAUAAACAAUUAAAACUAAUUUUGUUUUUCCACCUCUCAUAUCAUUAGAUGAUGAAAUACAAUUUUAAGAUGAAUGAGAUUCAUUUAACUUUUUUAUUCUAUUUUAAAUCAAAUUGCAGUUCAUUAUUGGGAAUUUACAUUUGGUCUUUCUUUAAGAAUUAGGCGUAGGGUAACGUACGCAACAAUUCUAGGUUGCUAACGAACAUUUAUAAUUAAAUAAAAGCAAAAGAUGCAAGUAUGAUUGAAUCUUGUGUAAAAUUCGUUUUUGACCCAAAUUGGGGUAAAAUUGUAACACGACCCUCACUUGGGCAAACGGGCAACGUAAUGAAACACUAGAGUUCACGACUUUUUAAGCUAAUCACAUCCACAAUGGGGAUCCAUUCUACCAAUGAUUUCACUAACAAGUCCCUCCCAUUUUUACAUAUUUACAUUUAUACCACCCUCAUCUCUAUUCCGGGAUAGAACUCAACACAGCCUUGAACUUCCCUCUCCCUCUCCCUCUCCCUCUCUUCUCCCCGCCGUUUCCACCACCGGUGGCGGGUGAAACCUUCCGGCGAGGAGACCCUUCAGAAAACGCGAAAGGGGUAACCGCCUUACUCCCGCGCCUGCAUUUUUCAGAGGCGGUGGUUUUCAUCAAAGCAGAGCUGGCUUUGACAGCCAAUGCAGCCAUUUCCUCAGCUUGUAAAGGAUGGUUGAGCCAACUCAAGGGCAAAGCGAAGUAAAGUUGACCGGGUUGAAGCUCCUCGUCUUCCUCGAUGGCGGAUACGAAGUCAUCGAAGUCCAUCUCAUCCGCGUUGCAGAUGAAACACAUGGGAUUCUUCUGCAAAACGUAAGAAGCCUUGACGGGGUAAGGAAACUCUUGUAACCGCCCAUCAUGGAGAAUCAGCUUGGCAGUUGCUACGUGAGUCGAAUCGCAAGAACUACAAAUACCCAUUUUCUAUUUUCAGAUUUGUGGAUUUCAACGUCGGAGCUUUCGAUUAUUUUUGGAAUAGAAAGCUUUUUUGAAAAUGUUGGUGUUGGAGAGCUGGGGGGAGUUUAUAAUAUAUAUAUAUAGGAAGGAAUUAUGAAAGGAAAGAUGUCUCGCAUUUUGGACCAGGUAGCCACGUAGGAUUUUGUCGUGACGUAGUAAUAAACAUAUUAUAGGAAGAGGAAGAGGAAGAGGAAGAGGAAGAGGAACAGUAGGCAGGGUUGCCAGGCUGUAAGUUAGUGGUGACAGGUUGUAUAAGGAGUGAGGAUGUGGGUCUUAACACAUCAACCCUGGUUUCGAGAUGAUAUUACGUUGACAGGGACUACUGAGCUUUUUACAGUUCCAUGGGAUGAUUUCACUGCUAAGUGCUAACAAAGAAGUGGUAUAUUAUAUACCCAUGUUUUUCCAUCCAAUCAAGGAGUUUAACAUGUUUUUGCUUUAUGUUAUCAUAUUUCACUGUUUACCAUUGUAUUUAAAUAAUGCUUUUUAAGUUUGCAAGGUUACUGUAUAGGUUUUGAGAAAAAGUGUUUCUCAAGUUCAAUUUUUUUACCUUUCGCUUUUUCUUUUGACUUAAAUUAUUCAUUUAUCAUCAUCUUUUUCUUUUUUGAAAUUUAUUUAAAAUACUAUAUUUAUAAAAGUUAUGUCUGUAUGCAGGUUAAAUUUUAUAAAGGAAACUUAUAUUAAUUAUUUAAAAUAUAUAUUUAUUUUAAGAUUUUACUAUACUCCUACUAAUUUUAUUUAUAAAAUUUAAAAAUUCUAGAGAUGGUGUCAAACAAAUUUAACUGUAAUGUGGGUGUGUCAUAAAAUAUUGUUUAUAUAAUAAGUUGGUAUAAUGAAUCUAACUCAAACAUUCAACGAAAAUGCUUAAAAGUAAUGGGUAUUAAUAUGUUGUUUACAUUAAUAUUAAGUGUUUUUUUUAUUCACACAAUAAAUAUAUUAUACUUAAAAUUCCUAGUUGAAUUGAUAUCACAAAUCAAUUAAACACUAAUUAAAUUACAAAAUAAUAAUUCUUUUUUACUAAAUUAUAUUAUUAAAAAGUAUUAUAUUUCUUUAUAUUAUUAAAACACCAUAAGUUUUGACUUUUCCUUUUAACCAACACCUAAGUUUUUAAUAAAUAUACUUUUACAUGAUUUUGUAUGCACAUUUACAAUUAUUAUUAAAAAUAAUAUAAUAAGAAAGAGGAUGGGGUAUGGCAUAUGGGAAAAGGGGAGGCGAGAUAAAAUAGGAAAGGUAUAAUGGAGAAGUAGAGAGAAAAAAGAAGAGAGAAACGUGGCAAUUGAAAAUCAAACCCAAGGAAGCUAGGGAUGCAACUGUGCAGGGCAAAGCAAAAGACACGUGGAACAGAAGGGCUUUGGGAAUAGUAAACUCGCAGCAUUCCGACAAGACAUGGCGUAAGCUCAUCUGGUUUUGCUGCUGCUCCCUCCCUGUUUCCUGCUGCCCCGCCCUUUUUCUAAUAUUUAUUAUUUCCCCAUAUAGCCCAUGUAUUAUUAUCUUAAAUUCUAAUCUACAUAACGCAACAUGAAAGCAUGGACAAUGUCAGGACUUUCUUCUACUCGUAUAUUUUAUAUAUUAGGUCUUGUAGGGUUUGCACGUGAAUGAGUGAUGGAGUUAGAAUACAAUUUUUGAGCCUCCCUUCCUUCCAUGUUUCGUAAAUUGAUUGAUUAAUGCCACUAGGUAAAAAUCUAUGGUUUUAUGACUUAAAUGUUAGUUCUAUUGGUGAUUGAAACAAACAACUUGGUCAUUCUUUGAAUUGAAUUAAACAAGGGUAUACUAUUAAUUGGUUUUGCUUUUUUGUUACCAUAGAAUACAAUGCAUGAUUUUAGUUGUUAUCAUUUAUCAAUCUACUUCCAUACGUGCAUGGUUUUCAUUUGUUAAAAAGCAAGGAAUUAUUGGUAAUAAUCGAGGAAUGAGUAACGUCUCCCACUACGAUUAAUCCUUUGUAUGAAGCUUCAGAGGAUUGGGGCACCUAUUUCUCCCCCAUUCCAUCCACCCUAGCUAUAUAUAGCUACUUGAAAAAAGAAAAACCCAAUUUUUUUAAUCACAAAAAAAAUGGCCUCACACGAAUGCUGUUCAUUUCUUUAAUCUCCAUUUGUUUCUCUUAUUUCAUUGGAUGCCCUCCAUAUUCCCUCUUUUGACUUUCAUCACUUUUGAAACCCAAUCUUCACCCUUUUUUUUUAUUGCGUUUUAAUUUUGUUGCUAGUUUCGGUAUUGUUAUGAAUUUUAUCAAUUUUAGUUAUAUAAUUUCAAUCCUCAAGUUAGAUUUUUUAAAUCAAAUUUUAUUAUUAAUCCUAUAUUAUAGAUAAGUUGUGAAUUUAGCCAUUAUUUUCUAUCUCAAUUCUUUUAAUUUGGUCAUUUUUAGCCUCUAUAUAAGUAAGAUGGCGAUGUAUUUUUGUGAAUAUUAUGUGAAAAUAACAAGCUAAUAUUAUAUUACACAUGUAAUAUAAUAUUGUUGAGUAAUAUUUUUCUCAUAUCCCAUUGAGAGGAAUGUUGGGGUAUUUAUACAUGCUCUUACCAUUACUAUUAUAGUUCAUAAUUGGGCCCACUAGUUUGUCUUGACUCUGGUGCCUUUGGUACUGACAUUCCCUACCUCUAGUGCUAACAUUCUUUGCGCGCUCCCUGGCUUGUUGAACGCAUUUCUACAUAACACGCGGUCUUUUCUAAUCCUAGAAUUGACAUCCUUAGCAAGCUCCGUAGCCAUUGGUAACGAGUCUAGAUUACUUGUAGGGCUUGCAAUCCUUCCUGCGAACAUAGUUCGCAACCCCAUCCUGCGAUGUGCGAUCGUGAACUCUUCUUGUGAGCUAUCUUGGAGAACACGCCUCUUCCAAGUCGAGUUCACCCGGGUCAAGAGUCAGAGACUCGAAUCCUUUUAGGACAUUUGGGUUGGCUGUUACGGAUAUAUAACAAAUACGUUUGUCGAAUAAUAUUUCAGAAAUAAAAGAAUUUAAAUUAACAAAUUUAAUGGAUACCAUUUGAUUUAAAAUUGAAAUUUCAAAAUUAAAAAAUUAAAAAUGACCAAACUAUAAUAGAAGAACUAAAUUUGAAAUACUAACAAUCAAUAUAUUCUUUGAAUGGAGAAAUCAUUUUUCAACCAAUUGAAUUGAUGACGAUUAUUUGAUUUAUUUAUGUUAUCACAAAUAGAUAUUAUGGGUUUGACAAGUAUCUUAUAAGGGUAUAUUAAAAUAUUAAAAUAUUAAAAAAUAAAUAUUUAAAAAAGAAGAGAUACUUAUCAAAUUUUCAAAACUAAUUGUGAAAUAAAAAAAAUACACCGUCAAUAUAUCAAAUAGUACUGGCUUAUAAAAUUAUAUUAAUUAUAAAUUACAAGGUACACCUAGAAGAUAAAUAUCCCUAGAAAACAUAAAAUAAACCACUAUUAAUAAAACUCAUAAAAUAGGGUGAAAUUAAAAUGCUUGUCAACAUAUAGGUUUGGAAUCUUGUAAAGCUAAAUGACAUUUAGAUUUCAGGUUAAUUAGUUGGGCUAUCAUGGAUAAGUAGAAGAAUCUUAACAAUUUAUCUAGCAAACUUUUUAUUUUUUGAAGAACACUUGGUUAAAACUUAAACUAUAGUUGUUAUUUUGUAUUUUUAUGAGAUGACCAGUCAAAACCCAAAUAAUGCAAAACCAUAUAUAUUCAACAAAUAAGGAGAAUGGGCAUAAAAAUAUUGAACAAUCCCAAGGAUUUGAUCUGUAGUUAAACAUGUUUCUGCUUAAUCCUGGAUUAUAUGGGCGAAAAUAGUUGGCAAAAGAAGAAAUUAAACCCCACCAACCGGCAUAAACACAUUACAUUCAUAAUAAUGUGGUCUCAACACCCUCUUAAAAUAAAUCUGUCUAACUACAUGUAUUUUAUUUGUCUUAAUCACCUAGCUCUUGCAGGUUUUAGAAUGGGAUUUCAACUUUGAUUCAAUCAUGGGUUCAUAAAUAAUAAAGGUAGCCAUUGGCACUGCCUCGAAAGUUCCUCCCUUUUGUCUACAACUUGAAAAACUUAUUGUUUAUUUAUGUGGCCCUUAAGGGGUCUGAUAUCUUGCAUGGUCAAAAUCUCAGAUCAUGCCCUAUCCAAAUAAAAUUAUUGGUUUUGAAUGGAUUCAUUGUAUACCGAAGGAUCAUUUUUUUUUAAAUGACAGUGAUGAAUGCAUUUAUAUCAUAGAUAUAAGAACUUUUGUUUUGUGUUAUACGUUCAUGUUUUUGGUUCAUAUCCUGUCUAAUCCAUACUAGUACUCAAGAUUUUAUAUAUAAUUGGAUAACAUUACAUUACAAGUAUCUUAUUAUCUAUAUAUGCCAAUAUAUUUUUAUAAAAAAAUAAUAAAAUUGAAUAUAGUCAAUAUAUUCAUAUCGAAAACAAAAAUAAAAGUCAUUGUUAAUAUAGACAUUAAUAUAGACAUUAAGGGUGUAUUUAGUACUGUUUUUAAUAAGCAGUUUUGGAAUAAAAAAUACUUUUUGAGACUAAAACAUUUCUAAACAAGUUAAUUUUUCAGAAAAAAAAAUAUUUCUCCCAAGCAAGAAAUAAGUUCAAAAGUACUUUUUUGAUAAACUGAAAAUUUUAGCUUCUUCCCAGAAAAUUUAUUUCCCUCAAAAAAAUACUUUUGUGAAGUAUUAAUAAACUAAGUCUAAGUCUAAGUGUAAUUAUUUGAAAUAUUUGAAAUGGUAAUUUCCCAUACAAUACAAAAUUAAUAAAGGUAUCUAGAAUCUAAAAGUUAAUAAAGUUUUGAUUUGUAUAGAUCGAUGAUUAAAGUUUUUAUGAGACACUCGUUUGAUACAGAUUCAAAUUGUGUGACAUUCAUCUCCUACUCGAAUAUUGUAUUAAAAAAUUUUAAUAAACAUGAAAAAAUUAACAAUAUAAUACAAUUUUUGAAGGUAACAACAUAGUAUAUUUAAACAUUAUAAGCAAUGAUAGUUGUUUUUUUUAAGUUACAACAACUAAUUAAUGUAUCAACGGCUCCAAUCAAAAUAAAUUAUUACAAAUAUGUGUGAAAUGAAUAUUUGACUCAAACUAACUAUUUAAUUACACAAAUUAACUAACUCACACAUAAUUCUUGCAUGGUAGGACUUAAAUCUAAAUGCUCAAAAUCUCAGUGCUAACAAUACUAAUUAAUUAAUACAAAUAUUGUAUCUCUACUAAAUGUUUGGUACAUUUAAUAAUUUAUGUUGUGUAUUAUUAAAAAAUAAUUGCAUACAUACAAAUUCUCAUGUCUAUGUGAAAAGUAUAUCCCAAUCGAAUUAAAUUGUUGAUAUUGAAAUGUACAAAAAUAACUUAGUUGAAUGCAUGAGUGCCGAAAUUGAAGGGUAAGUGUAUUCAAAAUAGAAAUAAAAUCUGAGGCAUAUCCCAAAAUUUACGUGACAUUUUCUUUUCGAUGGAAUGUAAUGCUUUGGUCUAAUUUAUUAGAUUAGGAACAAAACAAAGUUGAAGAAGAAGAAAUUUAACCCCACCAACAGGCAUAAACACAUCUCGAUUCAUUAAUUUCUCUAAAUUAAUCACCCUAAAAUAAAACAUCUUAUCCUAAUAAUUUUCAAAUAAAUUCAUGAAAGUGAAAGGCUUAAAAAAAUCAAUAAUAGGAGCACUUAUACGUAGGGUUAAUUUUAUUAAAACUCCUCAAAUUAUACUUCAUAUUCUAAAUUCAUCUUUAAAUUUCAAGUGUUUUAUUUGAGUUAUUAAAAUAUCAAAGUAUUGUAUCAAUUCUAUCCUUAUUCGCCUAAACCCAUAAAAUUUCACCUAAAUUAUACCCUUUUUUUUCAUCUUGAUACCUAAACAUUUUUUUGUCAAAAAUAGUACCUAAAUUAUCUUUUUUUUCUCAAAUUAGUAUCUCCGUUAGUCAAACUAUUAAGUUUAUUUUAAAAAAAAAUUUAACCCAUAAAUUAGUACCCCUAGACAAUACAAAUUUUCCCAAGUUGGUACCUAAACUAUUUUUUAUCUGGUAUAUUCGUUAAAAAAGUUCUAGUCAAUAAUAGACAUCAACGUCAUAUAAACUUUUAAAAAAUAAUUUUUAUUAUUUUAUUUUAUUUUACAUUCUCUCUCUCUCCCUCCCUCUUAUUGAAUCACUCGAAUUGAUCAAACUGAGAAUUGUUGGCUUUGACUGAUUUGAUCAUCAGUCCUAUUCUAAAAACCUUGAUUAAAAUUGUCGAAACUAUUCUUUUGAAAACGGGGAUUGACUUUGUUUGAAAGUGAAAAUUAAAAUGGGAGUCGCCACCAAUAUUUUAUCAGGUGUGAUCGGAUCACCUUUGUUUUAAUAAAUCAAUUUUAGUUUACUAAAACAGGGCCUUUGGUCUACGAAACUUGAGAGAAUGAGUUCGGGAGUCGGUUACAUGCGAGGAAAGAUUAGCACCCUCGACACGCCCAAAAAAUUGGUAUCGAAUUGAUUAGUUAGUGUCUUAAUGUCGAAAAUAAAAAAUCGGGAAGGGACUUGAAAUACGAUCUUUUCUAUUAAUACUGAUUUUAAAAUUCUUGAAUUAGCUUAAAUGAUUUGUUUAAAGAUUUCCUUAUCUCGAGAUAUCGGAGUAUCACAUCCAGUAAGUUAGGACACAAUACCAUGAAUUCCCGAGCACAAGGUCGUCUUUUAAUUUAAAUUGGAAAUCCGUGCAUUUCAAAACUCAAAAGGAUAUUUAGCUAUUUAGAACCAAUAAGAGAACCGAAACCCCGUAAGUUAGGGCACAAUUCUUCGAUGUUCCAAAAUGCGAAACAUUGCCUUAUUUAUUGAAAUUAGUAAAAACAUGAAUAAAAAUCUUUAAAGUAAUGAACAACAGAAUGAUAUAAAAUAGGCGGGAGACAAAAAUAAGUGAGUUGGAAAUACAUUGAAACAAAUAAUAAAUAUGACAACAAUAUUAAAACAAUAACAAUGCAUGUGAUAUAUUAAAUGUAAUAAUAGUAUCCAAUGUGAAAUAAAAACAACGAAUGUAUACAUAAUAAAGAUAUUAAGAGUAUGUACGUAAAAUAUAUAUACAUAUAUAUAUUUAUAAAUAGUAAUAGUGUUAGAAAUAUACUAUAUAUAGUGUUUGAAGUAUAUACAUAAAAUAGUGAAAAUAUAACUAGUAAUGUUAAGAUAUAUAUAAUAUAUACAUAUGUAUAAAAUAGAUAUAAAAAAAUAUGUACAUAAUAUAGUGUAAAAAAUACAUACAUAAUAUAAUUAAAAUAUAUACAUAAGAUAACAUGUAGAAAAAAAAAUAUAAAUAAUAUAGUAUUAAAGAUAUAUACAUAAAAUAGUAUAAUAUAUAUACGUAAUAUAGAAUUUAGAAUAUACCUAAUAUAUUAAAAGAAUAUAUAUAUAAUAUAAUAUUAAGAAAUAUAAUAAUAACAAAAAAAAGUGAGGGAGAGAGUGGGUGAUUUUCGGCCACAAGGCCGGUCACCGGACCGUCGCCGGCUACUGUCGGUGCCACCGUACACGGCAGCCGGACCUCAAAAAAACUUUUUCGGUAAAAAUGGGAAAGCUUCCUCCUUUUAUUUUUACUUUCGUAUAAAAGAAACAAAAUAAAACUGAAAGGAAAACAAUAAGCAAACAAAGAACUUAAAACGAGAAUAGACCAAGAAACCUUUUUUGCUUUGAUAUUUGAUUAAUCUCCAAAAAAAAAACUAGCCUCUCCAAAAACUAGCCUUUACAAUAACUCUUCUCCUUAAUUACUCUCAAAAAACCUCUCAAAAAUCCUUUACAAUAACUUUCUCCCCCAAAACUUCUUCCUCCCUAAAUACAAAAUAUGAGAAAGCUUAUAUAGCCAUUUACCAAAUAUUUUUUAUUGUUUAUGUCUUCAUUUGUAGGUACAAGUGGUGGUGGAGCAAGUGUGGCUAAUGGAGUAGGUGGUGGAGCAAGUGUGGCUUGUAAUAUCCUGAUUUUGGGCCUAGUCGGAAUAGUGGUUUCGAGACCACAAAUCUGAGAUAGAAAGAAUUUUUUUUUAUAAUUAUUUUGAGGUCUAUGAUAUGAUUGCAUGAUUGUGUGAAAAUUUCGUGAAGAAAUUCUAUGCAUAAAGUGCUUAAUUUGAAAUUAGGGACUAAAUUGAAUAAAUUGCAAAACUUGUGUUCUAGAAGCAUUUUGCAUAAAAUUGAAUUAGAUUAUUAAUUAGAGGUCCUUACAGAGCAAUUUUAACAAUUUGUAAGUCUAUGGACAAAAAUUGGACUUGGAUGGAAUUUUUGGAAAGUUUAGUAAUAAGGCCAUUUUGGUCAUUUAGAUAUUAAAUGAAAUUAUGUAGUAUAGGAAGUUGUAGAUAAAACAGAAUAAAAACGAGGUAUCGAGACCUCGAAUUCAUAAACCGGGCCAUAAAUAUUUUUAGAAAUAUUUAUGGAGUGUAAAUAAGUUAGUAUUAAAGUUUCGUCAAGAAAUUUUAAGGUUUCGGUAAUUAAUUAGGUGAAAAGGACUAAAUUGAACUAAGUGCAAAAUUUGUGAGAUGUGAUUAAAUAGCUUAAGUAUUUAAAAAGAUGGAUUUAAAGAGCAAUUAGACCCAAAGGUUAAUGGCUGGACGGUUUGGGUAUGAAAUAAGCAAGAAAACAAUGUGAACAAGGGGCAAAAUUGGAAAUAGCAUAAAAGUUAGUAAUUAAAUAAUGAUGUAAUUGAAAAAUCUAGACAUUUCUUCAUCUUUCUCAGCCAGAAACGCCGUAGCAGGUCUCCUAUGCUGGUUUUUCAUAUUUUUGCACCAUGUAAGUUCAAUUUUUACUUUUUCUUAGUAAUUUUUAUGUUUUUGUGACUUUUACAAUUAGGUCCAAUCAUCUAAUUCAUUAGUUUUUGAUUUGGUGGAUGAAAUUGGAAGUUCCCAUGGCUGAGUAAGGGCAGUUUAUGAUGAAUUAUUAUGAAAUUGAAGUUCUAAUUUCAUAUUAAGGUUGUUUUAUUAAGUCAUUUUGAUAGAAAAUGGUAUUUAGGACCUAAUUGUGAAAACAAUUGUGAAUUAGAUGUUGGUGUUGAAAUUCAGAAUAUCAAAGGUUGUGAAAUAGUUUAUAAUGAUAAAAUAAAGUGUUAAUUGAGAAAAAUUAGUUCAAUUUAUGGGUGAAUUGAGUAGGGACUAAAUUGUAAAAAUUGUAAAUUUUGGGGUAAAAGUGCAAUUUCGAAAUUUGAACAGCAUAAAUUGUGAAGUGAAAUAGAAAUCAAAUAAAUGCUAAUGAGUAGAAAUAAUUUAUAUUAUAGAUCAAGAGAAACGAGAUUCAAGUCGUGAUCGAGGGAAAAAUAAAGUUUACGAGGAAUAAGCUCGAUUGCUAAUAUUUUAUAUCGAGGUCAGUUCAUAUGAUUUUUAAUAAUGCAAUGUGUAAUUUAAUGUUUUGAAAUGAAAAUUUCAUGAAUGAUAUAGUAUAUUAUUGCAUAUAAAAUGUCAUUAAACUGUGAUAAUUGUAAAAUGAUAUUUGAAUAAAAGUACAAAUUAAAUGGAACAACGGACUUGAGUACUUUCAUUCAGUGGCUAAGACGAAUUGACGGAAAGACCAUGGUUGGACCAUGGCAGCAUGUGAAAUGUGAUUUCCGUAUAAGACCAUAGCUGGGCUAUGGCUUCGGAGAAAUGUGAUAUGUGUUUCCGUAUAAGACCAUAUCCGGGAUAUGGCAUCGGUGUGAUAUGUGCUACUGUAUAAGACCAUAUCUGGGAUAUGGCAUCAGUGUGAUAUGUGAUCCGUGUAAGACCAUGGCUAGGCUAUGGCCUCGGUAUGUGAUAUGUGACUAUGUGCAAGACCAUAGUUUUACUAUGGCAUUGUGAUAAUGAGGUACUCAAUUCCGUAAUCGUUCCCUAAUUUGAUUAUGAACGAAAAUGUAAAAUGGCCCGAAAAGAUUAAGAAUUGGUGAAUACUAUGAAAAUGACACGAUUUGGAAUAAGUUCUUGAUACUUGAUGACAUUGAGAUUAUGGAUCUAUGCUUAUGAAGCAUAAUUAUGUGUUCUUACCAUGAUGGAUGAAAUGAUAUUGUAUGGAUUUAGUGAAUAAUAGUGGUGAAUGAAUAAAUAUGGCCUUGGCAGUUUUGGGUUACUACAGUAGUGUAUAUUUUGAAAUUCACCAUAAAUUGUGGAAAUUGAGUUAAGGGCUGAAUAAAAUAUGAGAUUAAAGCCUGAUGAGUUUAGUUUCAUAUAGAGGAAACGGUGCAUGCAAUUGGAUUUUAUGUUAUAAGAUAUUUAAAUUGUUGUGAGACAGAGUUUGAAUGAUUCGAGAUCCCCUGUUCUGAUUUUAGAAAAUCAUUAGAAAUUGUACAAAAAUAUUUAUGAGUUUUAAUUUAUAUAUUUAAAAUCCUUAUCGAGUCUAUUUUCAAGAGGGAUAGACGGGAACAUCAUCCAAGUCCCGAAUUAUGAGAUAAAUAAUUUUUAGUGAAGAGAGAUCAGAACUGUUGGACAGCGAAACAGGGGAGACUUUAAUGAAUAAACUGUACUAAAUGGCUAAACCAAAAAUUCUGGAAAUUUUAUGGCAGAAAGGUAUAUGAAUCUAGUUUCAAGGAAAAUUAACGGAACUUAAUUUGAAGUUUCGUAGCUCCAGAAAUAAAUUAUUUAGUAAAUGUAUCUCGAUAAAACAGUUUAAGCUGAGUAUGUAUAAUUGUACAAUUGUGGUGUUUUAUCUUAAAAGCAUGUUGGUAAUUGCUUAUUAAUUUCAUAUGGACUUACUAAGCAUUUAUGCUUAGUCCCUCCUUUUCAUUCCUUGUAGUUUUGAUAAGCCAGCUCGGAAAUCGGGAACGGUCGGAGGCCCACUCACACUAUCCGUAUACCAUCUUGGCGUAAUGGCUUGUAUAUUUUGAGUAUGGCACGUAUAGCAUUAUAAUCAUUUUGUAUAUAUGGUCUUAUGAUAUGGAUAUUGAGUGGUAUGGAAAUGUUUGGUAAUGAUUAGCCAUUGGAAUGGCUAAUCAUGAUCAUAUUUGGUGUUAUAUAUGCUAAAUUGCUAGCUAAUCCAUGGAAACCAUGAAAUAGGCAAAAUUUACCAUAAAAUAGAUCCAGACAGCAGCAGUAAUGUGAGUUUGAAAAAUCAUUAAAAAUAGUAGAGAUACAAUUAGAUGAUGAAUAAAAUAUGGAAUUGAAUAAUUAUUAGUCUAUUUUCAUAUGGAUGGAACAAAACAGGUAUAUGAGUUAUAUUUUAUGAGAAGUUUAAAUUUUUGUGAAACAGGGCCAGAGCGAUUUCUGGAUCCCCUAUUCUGACUUUGGAAAUUCACCAUAAAUUGUACAAUGAUAAUUAGAAGUUAUGCUUUAUAUGUAUAGAUUCCUUAUUGAGUCUAGUUUUAUUAGACACAAACGGCAUAGUCAUUGAAACUCUGUACAGGGAGAUAUAUGAUUCGUAAUACACAGAGGUCAGAGUACUCGAACCCUAAAAUAGGGGAGACUUUAACUAAUAAACUGUACUAAUUGGCCCGACCAAAAAUUAAAAAAAAAUAGUAGAUAGAUAUAUGAGUCUAGUUUAAGGAAAAAAUUACAAAAUUUGAUUUCGAGUUUCGGAACUCAAGAUAUGAAUUUUUAAGCAACUAUGAUGCAGUUGGACAGCUUGUCCGAAUUUGUUUAAGUGCUCAAAUAAGUUUAGUAAUGCCUCGUGCUCGACUCCGGCGACGGUCUCGGGUAAGGGGGCGUUACAUGGCUAGUGGAGUUAGUGGUGGCAAAGGCUAGGAUUUAGUUGAGAAAAGUUUAGGUUGUGGGCUAGGAUUUUUUUAUUUUGAUUUGGGCUUAGGGUUUGGGCCAUUGGGAUUUUGAUGUAAAUUGGGCUUUGGGUAGUUAAGAUUUUGGGUUUAAUUUUGGUGGGUUAAGUAAGGUUAAAUUGAGUUUUGAUAUAAAUGGGUUAAAAUUGGCCUACAACAAAAACUAUGAAGCCCAAAAUGCUCACACUUGUAAAAGAAACCCAAGAUGAGAGGAAGAAGAAAGAAAAAAUAUAAAGUGAAAAGAAAUAUAUAUAUAUAUAUAAAGAAAUAAUUUUUUUUACCUUUUUUUACCACAUGACAAUUUUUAAUAAGUUAUCUUUUUUUUUAAAUAGACUUAACAGUUGAACUAAUGAAUAUACAACUUGGUAAAAAAAAUUAGGUACCAUUUAUGAAAAGAAAAUUAGGUAUUACAAUGAGAAAAAAUGCAAAUUUAGAUACCAUUUGUAGGUUAAGAUUUUUUUUAAGAUAAACUUAACGGUUGGACUAGUAAAAAUAUCAACUAAGAAAAAAAAUACAAUUUAGAGAUCACUUAAAAAAAAUUAAAUAUCACUUAUAACAAAAAUAAAAAUAAGUAUCAAAAUAUAUAAAUAUAUAUAUAAUUUAAACACUUAAAUUAUUUUCCAUGAGUGUAAAGUUUUGACCUAAUUUGUUAGAUUAGGAACAAAAUAAAGUUGAAGAAGAAGUUUAACCCCACCAACCGGCAUAAGCACUUCUCAAUUAAUUAAUUUGUCUAAAUUAAUCACCCUAAAAAAACAUCUUACUUAAAAAAUCAAUGCUAGUGGGUCAUUAGUUCUAAUCACAGAAUAGAGAUUUGUUCUGUUUUUAAAGCUGAAUUGAGAGAAUUCUUGAUGGUGUGUCAUUGGCAUAAGGAAGACUUCAUGAUAAAAUUUUGAUACAGAUUGAUAAUAUAGAUGUUAUUGGGACCACUAAGGAAUCCUUUUUGAAGGGGUCAAAUUCUGCUUUAAUAAGACGUAUUAAUCAACUCUUACGGAAGGAGGCAAAUUAGUCCAUAGAUUAUAUUCCUAGAGAAAACAACAUGGAAGCUGACCAAAUUACUAAGUUGGCUUUUGAUAGAGAGGAAGGCUUACAUAUGUAGUUUCUCCUUUAGUUUCUUUUUAAUUUUUUAUUUUUGUAACACUUCUUUUAUUCAAAAAAAAAAAAUUCAAUGCUAGGAGCACAUAUAAACAGGGUUAAUUUCAGUAAAAGUCCUCAAAUUAUAGUUCAUAUUCGAAAUUGAUUUUUAAUUUCAGAUGUUUCAUUUGAGUUCUUAAAUUAUCAAUAUUGUAUCAAUCAUGACAUUAUUAGCCUAACCACUAGUUUAGACAUUAAAUGUUAGUUUGGAUAUGAAGUGAAGCAUUUUUUAAGCUACCCGAAUCAAAUUGUAAAUACAUUUGUACUUACCAUAUAGACAACUUAGUUUGAUGUGUUAAAAAACCAGAUAGUGUCAUUAAAAUUUAGUAAACAAUUUUGUUAAUAUAUUAGAUCCAAACUAUUGACACACAUUUUUACAGUUUAACCCGCGUACUUUAAUUAUGCUCCAUGCUAAAUUUGAGCGGAUAUUUAAUAUUUAAAUUAACAGGUAAAUUAUUAAAAAAAUUGAUUAAUAAAGUGUUGAUAUUUUGAAAACUCUUUUUAAAUUUGAACACCAAUAUAAUAUAAAGUUUUGGAGCAAUUUUAUUUGUAUUUUGUUUUAUGUUAUAGAUUCAUAAGGUGAUUCUAACAAAUCAAUUAAACAAUAAUAUAAACUUUGGAAUGAAGAAACACAUAUUAUAAAUUAGAUUGCCUUUAAUUACAAAUAUUCAUGGUUGUCACAUUUAUUUUCCAGACAAAGCAAAUCAAAUAUUUUUGCAUCAUCAUGCAUUUAUUAAAUAAAAGGGUUCAUGAAUAAUGCAUAAAAAACUUCAAAACUUAAUUUCAUCAAAAUUCAAAUGUCAAAAAUGGGAUUUCAUGAUUAGAAAUAAAAGAAGAAAAGGAAGAAACAGACAUUUCCUGAGAUAAGCGCAGCUUUGGUCUGGAUUAUGUAGACCAAUAAAAUGAGAUAUGAAGUUAUGAAAUAAAUCCAAAAGAAAGGACAUCUUCUUGGAAACCCCUUUCCUACUCUUCCUUCCAUAAGCAUGUAGACCAAUAUUUUUUUUUAUAAUAAAAAAUUAAGUCUGUUCAGCUCACUGGUGAUAUUUAGGUAACAAUAAUAAUCUUAGGAUUCAAAUUUGAUCUUAUAAAUAUCUAGAAAAGAAAUCUACUUCCACUUUUUUCAAUUAUUGGUUGAAAUUUAGAGAUUAACUUUCAAUGUAUGUAAUUUUUAAAUAUAUGACUAUUUAAUAUUUUUGGCUAUUUCAGAAGUAUCCUUCAUAAAAGAGGCAAACAUACAAUCUAAAAACAUGCAACAUUCUAAUAAAAUUCAUGGAUGUCGACUUUUGAUUACUUGUUAUUCCUUAAUUAGAAAGCUUUAAUAAUGACGAGUCACAGUAAUUGAAAUGAAUUUAAAUGGCUGUUAAAUAAAUUUUAAUUUGUUAACCAUUACUUAUCAAAUCUUGUUUUAUAAUUUAAUUUGAUUUUGUAGUCCAAAUAAUCCUAUAUUAUGAUGUAUCUAAUAUAGUAGUAAUUAGCAAACAAGAAUACUUGUACAACCCAACCCAACAAACUAAGGCUAUUCCCAAUGAUCCACAUAUUAAAAUCUUGCCUAUAAUGUAUAAGUAGAAGAAUUUGAACAAUUUAUCCAGCUUUGAAACACUUGGUUAGAACUUAAACUGUAUUUUUUAUUUUGUAUAUUUUAGUCAAAAACAAACAAGGAGAAUGGGCAUAAAAAUAUUGAACACUCCGCAAGGAUUUGAUCUGUAAAAUUAUGCUAAACAUGUUUUCGCUUAAUCUUGGAUUAUAUGGGCAAAAAUAGUUGGCAAAAGAAGAAAUGAAACCCCACCAACACAUUACAUUCAUAAUAAUGUAGUCUAAACACCCCUUAAAAUAGAUCUGUCUAAUUAUUUUUUUCUUAAUCACCUAGAUCUUGUAGGUUCUUGAAUGGGAUUUCAACUUUGAUUCAAUCAUGGGCUCAUAAAUAAUAAAGGUAGCCAUUGGCAUUGCCAUGAAAGUUCCCCCAUCUAGUCUACAACUUGAAACUUGUUUAUUUAUGUGGCCCUUAAGGGGUCUGAUAUCUUGCAUGGUCAAAGUCUCAGAUCAUGCCCUAUCAAAUAAAAUGGUUGGUUUUGAAUGGAUUCAUUGUAUACCGAAUGACAAUGAUCCAUGCAUUUAUAACAAGUUUUGUUUUGUGUUAUACAUUCAUGUUUUUUGGUUCAUAUCCGUACUAGUACUGAAGAUUAUAUAUAAAGUUGGAUAGCUUUUUAACUAGAAGGGUCUUAUUAUCCAUAAUUCUCAAUAUUUUUCAUAUCUAAAACCAAAUGGCGGUAUUCGUUGUAGAUAUAGACAUGGUGCCAAUAAGUGGAGUUAUUUCUAUCUUUUUUCUUACCUAUAAACACUGAGUAGAGAAAAAUAUUUGAAUACUAUAAUUUAAACAUUACUUGUUGAAUACAAAUAUUAUGAGGAUUUUUGACACAUGAUAACUUGUAUCAUCCGGUGACCACGAUGGUGAUUGUUUGAAAGGGAUGGUGAGAUAUAUCCCAAGGGCUUCUAGUGUCCGUGCCGAAUUAUGGGCCUAAAUCUCUUGGAAUUAGUUGUCAUGAGAUCAAACUUGAUGCCACUGCUGUUAUUAAAGCUAAUCUUGAUAAUCAAAUGCUCACUAUAUAGAUUCGAGGCUUCUUAAUGGUUUUCAAAGUGCUAAUAUGAAACAUAUGUUUAGAGAAGGAAAUCAAUGUGUUAGGCAGCAACUCUAUGGAACCUCGGACUGCCCAAGUAUUGGAUUUUGGUUUUGUUGUUAACUGCUAUGAACCCUAUUUGUAUCAAAGAUUUGCUACAAUGAAACGUGGCAUAUAUAUGUUUUUUUCUCAUUGAAUGUUGGAAUUAUACAAAAUACAUUCAAAAAAAUAUCUAAAACAACGGAGAUCUACUUGGAAUCCCUUUCCUAUUCUUCCUCCUGUAAGAAUGUGGAGUUUGAUUAAUUGGAAUUCCCUCACCAUUCAUCUGCAAUAUAAUUUUUAUAUUGAAAUACUGUUAAAUUAAACCUAUUCGAUAUAAAAUUUAUUCAUCAUGUUUGUUGUAUAUGAAAUUUAGGGUAGUCUUUAAAGUAUGAUCAUGAGAAAAACUGUGGGUGUUUGUGGAGAGGAACUUACAUGAAGAGUUUGGUGAGAGAGAUGAUGUUCCUUGGAUUCCACGCAUCCCUCACCCGUACAAUUUAAACAAGACGAUGUAUAUUUAGGGGCAUGGGUCUCACAUAAACUAAACAACUUGGCUUCCAAAGAUGGCAAUACCCCGCUACUUUCAACCUUAUUCUGUUCCUCCAUUCUUAAUUUCUCUAUUUCACAAUUCAUAUAUGAAACUCCUCCUCAUAUUUACGUAUUUGUAUUACUCACAUAUAUGAGAAAAAGGAAAUCAUAGUUCUAAGAGAAGUAGGACACAAGUUUUCCAUGUUGCAUUAGGAUUUCCUCCUGCUUCCCUUUUUUGUUGGAUGACGAUUUAACUACAUUAAUAACAAAACAAAUUCGAGGGUGACUAUAUGUACUUUUUGUUAUUGUAUAACAUCUGAAAAUCAAAAGAGUGAAGUUCAUUAAUACAUCUCUAAUAUUUUUAGUCAAAUAAAUAUAAGUUAGACAACGCUAAACUUUUGUACUCUCACCCUCAAGCAUUCCCUUCAAAAUUGAACUAUCGUUCACAACCUCAUAUAAGGUUUUCAUAUUUGACAAACUAUAACAUGAACAUUGAGAAUUUCAGUUCAUAGGUGAGGCAAUGGAGGUUGAUUUUGACUUUGGAACAUGGAUUUGCUGCUUUCUAAGUCUGUUCACUGAUGGGACAAUUGUCGAGAUAAUAAUGGAGGGGUGAUUUGACGGCUUUGGAAUGUUUGGCUGAAAUUGGUGGAUUUUUAAGGGGUAAUUAAGAAAUGGCCCUAAUUGGUCAUUUUGGUACAACCGCAAGGGACCCUUUGCAGUUGUAGCUGCAGUUUUUCUUUCACCACCUGCAAGAAUUUGCUGAAUGAUAUAUUUUAAAUAAACUGUAUGAACUAGAUAAAUGAAUCAUUGCAUCGUAAAUUGGCAGCAAACUUUAUUCAGAAAGCAUUGAAAUUCAAUUUUAUCGUUCAAGAUUUUGAUGUUUGUAUAUAAUACUGUCAAUGUACACUUCUUAAUUUGAACAUCUAAGGAACUGUCAGGAUCUGCCUGCUGAACUUUUUGUGUAUGAAGAAAGAGUUGGAACUAGGAAGUUGCGAGUCGCUACAAAGACGGAAGGAGCCAAAGAUUGAAGAGAGUUGAAGCAAAGGAUAGAAACCACGACAUGAAAGCCAUAGCUGCAGACAACUGAUAUCUACUGCAUAUCUUUGACGGGCAAUAUGUUGAGCUGACAUUGACCAAGAGACUUGUCACACUAGCAGUUGAGCAAGCUGCGGCUAGUGAGAGAAAUGACAAGGCCUGCAAUCAGAUAAAACACAUGUUUUUACAUCAAAUUAUGAUAAGGGAUAACACCGUGGUGAUGAUAUGCAUAAUAAGCCUUGUAACAUACCCAGUCUCCAACAAUGACAACCAGCAGUACCCUUGGUUGCCGAGGUAAGCCUUUAACGAACACGGAAUAUGCAUCAACCAAUGCUAAUGACACACUCCAUGGAGUCACUAAACCCAUGACUGUCACCAAGUAGCUGCGAAAAAAUUUAAAGGAAAAUUGGAGAUUGAUUUAUCACCCAACAAUUGGUGACCAUCAAUGAAAACACAAACAUUAUCUUCUAUAUCAUUAUAUCUAAUGAGCAAUUGAACAUUAUAGUUUGUACCUGCAAUUGACCGAACAACACCAUAGACAAGGCAAGUUUAGACAAUAGAAGACCUUAUCCUAUGGCAAUUUUUUAUCAUUUAAUAGCUUCUGUUACUAGUGCAAGGGCUUUGAAAUUGCAAGAACAGAUAAGGUAAGACGGCCAUGCCAGUCAUAGCAAAUUGGUACUUAAUUUUUUUGAAGUACAGAAUAAAGUGGUUAUAUUCAUUGUCUUAAGAUUGAUCCAGAUGGUUUGUGCUGACCUAUAGAAGUUAGAUAGCAGAUACAGACAGUGCCUCAUUAUCUAGUUUCAAGUACAGAAUAAAGUGGUUAUAUUCAUUGUCUUAAGAUUGAUCCAGAUGGUUUGUGCUGAUCUAUAGAAGUUAGAUAGCAGAUACAGACAGUGCCUCAUUAUCUAGUUUCAUCUUUCCAGAAACAUGCAAAACACAAGGACCCAAGUCAAGGAAUAAAGUUUAAAUGCAAAAGCUAUACAAGAACAUUAUCUACUUUUACAAUUCACCUUGUUAACUAUCUUGAUUCCCUUGACAUCAAGCUUAAUCAUCCUUGAUAUUAGCACUUGAUGAGCUACUUGACUCCGGCCAUUUUGUUAAUUGCUUAAAUUAAGGCCUUUUUCUUGUACAAAUGCUCCCAACAUUGUGCAUUUUAUACACUCAAAAAGACACAUUUUUUGCAUUUCCAUUCACCUAGUGAAAAAUUUUAACAGAGGAAGGAGAAUAACAAACAAUUUCAAUCUGAACAGAGUCGAAAAUAAGAAGCCCGGAAAUCCAGCCUUGGAUAACAAAUAUCAUCAGCAAAUAAGUUAUAUUCUAUGGUCUAGUUCAACUAGCCAAGUAACAGGUCAUGUACAUUGAGAAUGGGUUUGAUAACUCUAAUUGUUGAAAGACCAAAUUCAGUCAUCCAUAAAAAAAGCAAUUUAUCUUUGCAUAUCCCUGAAUCAAAAUAGACUCUCAGAUAACUUUACCCUUUCAAUCAUUAAAUGGCACCUUUCCCUGCAAUCAUCCAUAAGCAAGAAGCAAGAUUUCCUAAAAAUGUCUUCUUCUUCUUCUUCUUCUUCUUUUUUUUUUUAUUAUAAACCUUAAAUCCUUUUGUUUUCAUAAAAAAAAUUCACCUAAUUCAUUUUCUGGCCAAGCCCAAAAGCCCUUCCCUUCAAACAAUUUCCAUGAAGAUACCAGUAGGAAGCAGUAGGAACCAGAAGUACUUUUGCUCUCUCCAACAUGGUAAAGCUGCUAUUUUACAUGGCAAAAAGACACACAAAGCUUGCCUAACCUCAAUCCAAAUCCUUAAAAACCAAUCACUAAAAUGAUCACUAUUGUGAUAGUUUUUCCCUGGAGGUUCCCAAAGUAACACCAGAACCAGCUAUUAAAAGUUGACAACGAAUUGAAUUCCGAGCGAAUAUCAGAAACAAAGAGGCAUGGGUAUUGAAGAUUAAAAGCCAAAGAGAGGAAGAAAGAUAAAAUAUGACCAAAUAAAUGGAAGAAUCUUAAAACGUUGACAGUUACCUGAAAGAAGUAUAGCUAUAGAAUUCAACAUCCAAACACAUAAAGAGAAGUGAAGCAGCGGAGAAAACGGUUUGUCCCAAACGAAGAGCCAAGCUGGCGCUUGUUCCCAACGCCCCUGGCACUGCUUCCAUCGUCCCUCAUGUCAUCUUAUCUCUCUGUUUCUUCAUCUUUAGUGUAUCCCCCUAAAACCCAAUAAAAAAGCAGAGGCCAAACACUAGGAGAAGGGAUUGAAACAAUAGAAUUAGAGUAAAAAAGAAAAAGAGAGAAACAGUGGAGUCCUAGGAAUAGGAUGAAGAAAUGGAAAGAGAGGAAAAAGAGGAGAUGGGUAGGGUGAAUGAUGAAGGAUGGAGGAGGAGGAGGCCAAGUUGUUGUAAUGGCGCUUUUGGGUCAAUGUCAAUUCUCUCUCUCAUUCUUAAUUUUACAAAUGGAGUGUCCCUCUUUUCUCCAUUUUUGAUUCUUGUACGUGGAUUCCCGGGGGUUUUCCACUCUUUUGACGAUGUAAAUAAUAAUGUGUCAUUCCUUCACGUAUAUACUACCAAGACACUGUUGAGUUGAAGCUACUAUAUUUUAUUUCUGAAAUGCAAAUGAAAUUCAAAUUGGUGAAAUAUUUAGAAAUUAAACAUUGAAUAAUUGGAACCAUACAAAGUUGAUUGCCGGGCCAAGACAAUUGGAACCCCACAAAUUGGUAUUUAAGAGAGAACAAAUUCCAUUUCUAAAGAGGUGGUUGAUCUGUCCUACAGUUUGGAACACCCAUGAUUCAAUCAUUUCCAACCCAAUUUUUAUAAUAUUACUUGUCAAUCUGCUUCUGCUUCUGCUUUUUCAACACAUCCCUCUAAAAUUUAUCACUUUCUCCAUUUCUUAUCUAUAAAAACAAGCUUCAUGUGCCCUUAUUUAUCAGAACACUGUUGACUAGUCAUUUUAGGCAGCAAAUGCAAGGAAACUGUAAGUUUAUUCACACAAAACACUAUUUUGAUGAAUUCAAAAUUGUCCACACUUAGAUCAUAUUUGUGUAAGCCUUUCUUUUUCCAGAUUAUUAUUAUUGUUUAUAAAAUUAUCAUUUAAUACAUAAAUUUCAUAUUUGAAAAUGAAAAGAAAAUAGAUAUUUAUUUAUUUAUAAAUAUUUUUAUAAUUUUGUACAUAUUUUUACUAAAAAUUAAACUUAUUUUAUCUUUUUAAGAAUUAAGGCUAAAUUCACAAAAUGUAUAAAGUUGAGAGUUAAUUUGUUAUUAUGUAAAAAAAAAAAAGACCACCACUAAUGAGUUAACAAAAGGAGGAUCAAAAUAUUAAAUUUCGUUAACAUUAAUAAUUGACUUAAAUAACUAAAAUAAAAAUACAAUAAUAAUUUUGUAGUUUACCUGUAAACAUUUUUUGAAAUUGAAAAGAUAACCUUUUUUAGUUUCAGCCUUUUAUCAGACUUGUUUCAGAUUAGAAUUUCAAGCAUCUUAUUUCGACAAUCUGGAUAAAAUGAGAAGAUGCUAAGAGGAGUAGUUUUAUUUGGUAUUAUUAUGUGGGUGGUACACUCAUUGAUUUAUUUAGUUAUUUCGUUGGAAUUGGAAGAAUAUUGGGAGAGUAAAUUGUGUCAUUAUUCAUUUGAGUGACUUAAAUCAAUAAAGUUAGGGUAUAUAUGAUUAAGUUAUAGUUACAAAUAAAAUAAAUAAUUUCAUAUCUUAACAAUUUAGAUAAAAUGAAAUAAUUAUUUCUAACUCUAUCCAACAAAUAAAUACACAAGUGUCUUUUUGAAAAGACUUUAAAAAUUUAUCAAAUAAACAAGAUUAUUCGAAUUUAAAAUCAAUAAAUAAACAUAUGUUUUUUUUUUUUUUGGCUUAAGCCACCAUCUGGGACAUCAUUAACAUCUUUUCUUUGUCCUUUCAUGAUUGCAAAAAUAUAUACAUUAUCACAUAUAUAAAUAUAUAUUAUAUAAUUAUGUACCAAUCAUAGCAUGUAAAAUAUCAUGCAUAUACAUUAUAUUUUUAAAUCAAAUUCAUGCAACAUGAAUAAAAUGAUAAAUUUGACAUGCAUGUUCUUGCCAUAAAAGUUUCUUCUAUAUCAAAUUUUGGUAAUAAGAGUUCUUAUUUCUCUUCAUAAACUAUCCAAUAGAUAAUCACAUUUUAAAAAAAAAUAAAUAUGAUUAUUCAAAUAGAAUAAUUAUUCAAUAAAUGUCUACUUGAAUAAUCACAGUCUUUGUUAAUAUUAAAGUACUUUUGGUAAUAAGAGACAUAACUUAUCAUUCUGAAUAGUGACAUAUCUUCAUUAGUAACCAACUGACAUAACUUUGGGUAUUUAAGUGACAUACCUUAUCACUAUAAAUAGUGACAACUCUUGAUCAAUAAUCAAGUGAUACAACUCUUGGUUACUUAUAACUUUGGCAUAAUGACUUAUUUAACUUUUCAACUUAACAAAAAAAAUCAUUUUAGCCAUUUAUUUAAUUUUUUUUUGUUUUAGCAUUUGAACUUGUAUUUUUUGUCACAUCACCUCAAAAUAGAUGGAAAAAUUAAUAUUUGUAAACUCUACUAACACGGCAUACAUGUGGAUUGCCAUGUCAACAUUUAAUUACUUUUUUAAAAUUUAAAAUAUUAAAAAUAUUAAAAAUAUUUUAUAAUAUUUUAUAAUUUUAAUGAUUUUUAAUUUUUAAAAUUUUAAAAAUUAAUUAAAUGCUGACAUGUCAUCCACGUGGCAAUUCACAUAUAACAUUAGCAAAGUAAAAAAAAAAGGUAAUCUACAAAAAUAGUUACUUUUGUUUGCCUCAGGUUACAUUUUAGUCACUUAUGUUAUUAUUUUGUUACGAAGUGAUCACUCUACUGUUAAGUUCCGUUAUCUCUCUAACGGUAAUCGUAGGUAACAGUCCAACUAGAUUUAAGGUGCCAACUUAGAUUUCUAAAUGGGAUGAAAAUAAAUUUUUAAUUAAAAAAAUUUAAUUAAUUAAAAUUUUCAAAUGUAAACCUUAACUAAAAAAACUGUUGAUCUCCUCUUUUUAAUUUUUCUUAUGUCUCUUAUUUUUUUCAAUGGCGUUUUUUUUUCAUUUGAUUGGAAAAACUAUUAUUAAGAUCAAAAUAGUUGAAAUCAACAAUAAGAAAUAAUAAUCUGGAAUACCCACAAAGAGAUUGUGAACAUACAAGUUGAUUCAAAUUAGAAAAAAAUUUAAUUGAGAAACUAAUUAUUCAAGAACUGUGAAAGAACUAGAAAAUAUAAUAAUCAGGAACAACAACAAUGAAAGUAACAGCCUUUUUCUGAAAAUUUUAAAAUUAGCAUGAAUGAAACAUGUUUCUGGUUGCAUUUUAUAGGAUGUCUAUUGACGCAAAAUAAAAUACAUGUUUACAAACAAUUUCAAAAAAUAGAAGAAAAUAUCAAGAAUUUUAAUUUAGGGUUUUCAUUAAAUAAUAAAAAUCUAAUCUUUUGUUUUUUAAUACUGAAUAAAAGAGAUAGAGGAAUAUAAAGAAGACAUACCUGAACCUUCCAUUGAAUCCAUCUUUAUGAAGCAGUCAAUUUGAUUUCAACUAUUUUGAUCUUAAUAAUAGUUUUUCCAGUCAAAUGAGAAAAAAAAACCCAUUGAAAAAAAAAGAAAAGAUGGAAGAAAAAUUAAAAAGAGGAUAUGAACAGUUUUUCAGUUAAGGUUUAGGUUUAAAAAUUUUAAUUAAUUAAAAUUUUUAAUUAAAAAUCUAUUUUCAUCCCAUUUAAAAAUCCAAGUUGGCACUUAAAAUCUAGUUGGACUGCCACGUAAGAUUACCGUUAGAGAGAUAACGGAACUUAACGGUAGAGUGAUCACUUUGUAACAAAAUAAUAAUAUAAAUGACUAAAAUGUAACAUUUCAAAGAUAAGUAAUUAAAAUGUAAUCUAAGCCAAACAAAAGUGACAUUUUUAUAGAUUACCUAAAAAAAAGUGAAGGUGAUUUAACAAAAAAAUAUAAGCUUAAGAGCUAAAAAGAUAAAAAAUUAAAUAAAUCGCUAAAAUAGCUCUUUCUGUUUUUUUUUUUAUAAAUUUAGAAGGUCAAAUAAAUCAUUAUACCUAUAACUUUUCAUUUCCAACAAAUAUUUCACCUACAUGUGAAAGACUUACAAAAUUAAUCUGAAGUUAAAAAGCUGAAACUAGACUUAAUGAAAUUUCAUCCCUAACAACUCUAGUAUUUUAAUUUCCUAUAGAUAAAGUGUAGUAAAAUCCUGAAGUUACUCCAGGAUUUCAUAUCUUUUAUCUACUCCAAAAACCAUACUUGUGUCUUUUAAUCAACGACAAAACAAACCCAACAAUUUUAUCCAGUCAUUAGGAUGGGUUUAUACAUGUUUAAUUAUAUUGUAAUUUCCUAUAAAUUAUUACACACUAAUAAAAGUUGUUUUCAAGCAUUCGAUAGCAUCAAGGUAAUUGUACCUCAAUUCGAUCGCGUUUGAUUGUUUGCUGAUGUAAUGGCUUGCUUUGGUGGCUAUUGCUUGUUCCUAUGGCUUUGAAUCCUCCUUUUCCUGUUUAGUAAUGGAGGCCUGAUUGAAGUGUAAGUUUUUCCUGAGCAGUCCAACUCGGACUUUAGAUUGAUCGGCUUUCGAGUGAACUGUGACUCUCGUUCAAGUGUACUAAGAUUGUUGAAAGCUUUGGCUCAUUUGGAGCUAUUGCUCUUGCUGCAUGUAAACCUAUUGGAAAAACAUUUGUUAAGGACCCUCCAGCAGUAUCAAGCCCUUUCUCAAGAAUCGUAAGAGAUUUCAUAGCAGCCACACUUGGUUUUGAUUUUGCCCAAGCCCUGUUUUCACGAUCCACCCUGGGGAGAGUUGUACAAGUAUUUCAUCUUCUAAAUGUUUAUUAACUACUGGAUUAUUAUCUACUUCUUUAGGGAUUUUGAAGAAGGUCGUGAUGUUGAAGUACUUGAAGCCAUGACUUGUACGGAAGAACCAAGGCUGUUUAUUGAUGAUUUACAUUCAAACUCCUUAAUGAUAGUGAGAUUAUUUAGUUUCCAGGAUUCCCAGUGCUUUGAUAAAAAGAAACAGGGGUUUGUACUAGAAGCGUAGAAAAUUAUUAUAAAAAGCCAGCAUAGUAACAUACAAAGAAGAUAAGGGUUUCUCAGUGGAUUACUGCAAAGUUUAGCAACACUUGUUUAAAAAUUACAAAAUCUCAGCCGAGAAUAAACAAAUUCAUACAAGACUUGUUUAUGAAUCAAGCUGAGCAUACCAGACACCAGUGAUCUUGACAUCCUUUGGAGUCUUGGCACCCAAGUCAGUGUCAGAUGGCUGAAGGCUCUCGAACACACCGAUAACUUCACCGGUCUCCGGCUUGCUCUUUGUGACGCUCAAGGUGAUUUUCCCUGAUGAAGAUGCAGCACUCUUGUUGUUCUCCUUGGCUAGCUCUUCCUCAUCCCCUCUUCCUCCAGCAGGCAAGGCCACUGCAUUAUCGUAACCGGUUGAGCCACCCCUUCCCUUUGGGUCCAAGAAAGAUGAGCCACGGUAGGAUGGUACAAGGAAGUCUCCUCCAAAGCUAUCAGGUUUGCCUGAUGCAACCAAUUGCUUGAUGGUGAACAGGAAAGGCACACGCUCACCACCAGGAAGCUGAACUGUGACGGCAGCAUAAUCAAUCCCAUCUUUCUCCUCGAAUUUGAGGGUGCCAUCGGUAGAUACCUCGAAAGGGCCCUCGAUUUCGUCAAGGGUGUAGGUUAAACGGGUCAUGAGCUUGGUGUUUUGGAACUCAGGAGGGGCAUUCUUGUUAACCCCCUCAGCCUUGACAGUGAAGGAAGUGGGCUCCAAGCAGAACUUCUUGGCGUAGUAUUUGCCAGGCUUGAAGGCAAAAGAGUCGACACCACCAUCGAUGGUUGGGCACUGGUUAGCAGUUCCUGUUCCUUUGACUUCCAUGUAUGUCUUGCUUUGGAUUUCAGCGUAGGUUAGCCGCUUUGGAACUCCUUCAGCGCUUGCUCCCUUCAAAACAAACCAGUCAUUGUAACAUAUUUGUUCAGAUCACGGAUCGUAUAUGAUCCUUAUGUAUGCAAUCAACGAUACUUGGCUCAAAUGAAAAAUCCAAAUGACAAAGUUACAACACCAUGCAAGCUCAUUAAGAAUCCUACCUAAGCUACAUAAAAAUAAAUACAGAAAUUUGAAGCAAGUGAGAGGCGAGAAGUACAUACCGAGACAACAAGAGCAGAUGUAGCAAGAGCGAAACCAGCGAGCUUGGUAGCAUCAACACACUUCAGAGCCAAGUCCUUGAGGUCAGUUUGCAAAGAGCAGGUAAGCCUAGCACCAACAGGCUCCAAACCGAAGGCCUUAGAAACGCUCUGGGAGGACCUGAGCGGCACAUUGGUCCUUGAUGGUGCAGCAACCUUGAUUGGUUGCAUCAGGGUAGCUGGAGCUUGAAGUGAGACCGCCAUUGUUACGAAC